rnacentral:lncRNA from 1 species
AGGCAGUAGCCAAUUACCACAAUAUUAAGACCAUAAUAUUGGAAAUAGAAAAAUAAAAACCAUUAUAUAUAGCAAGUUUUAGUAGAAGCUUUGCAAUUCAAGUAGAAGUGUGUUUUACUUGUGAACUAAGAAAAAAAUGGCUUCCUCUAUGAUGUCCUCUUCAGCUGUGACUACAGUUAACCGCGUCUCUUCGGUACAAUCCGGCGCGGUAGCUCCAUUCGUUGGACUUAAGUCCAUGGCUGGCUUCCCAGUUACAAAGGUCAACAAAGACAUUACCUCCAUUACAAGCAAUGGCGGAAGAGUAAACUGCAUGCAGGUGAGAAAAAACAUGCCUACUAUUUUAGUUUAUUUGAGUAUAUUAUUAGCAUAAUGGAAACAAUUUAUGACAUGCCCGUAAACUGUUUUCUUCUUAUAUUUUCAUAAGCUCUUCAGGAUAGUUUAUGAAAACAGCUUAUAGAUUAUGUGAAAAAAGUUUGACUUUCUUUUGUCAAUUGUUAUAGAAAUAACUUAUUCAUAAGCACUUAUAGAUUUGUUGGCAAAAGUACACAAGUUUGUUGACCCUUUUUUUUCAAUUUUAGGUGUGGCCUCCUAUUGGCAAGAAGAAGUUUGAGACUCUUUCAUAUCUUCCACCAUUGACCAGAGAACAAUUGGCGAAAGAAGUUGAAUACCUUAUAAGGAAGGGAUGGGUUGCUUGCUUGGAAUUCGAGACCGAGGUCUAGUUUUAAUUUAUUUUCAAUGCCUUUUCAACGAACAUAUAUAUAGUUUUGAACUUAGAUGGUUAAUCGGUUUGUCAUGGUUAAUCUACUUGCAGAAAGGAUUUGUGUACCGUGAGAACCACAGUUCACCAGGAUAUUAUGACGGACGUUACUGGACAAUGUGGAAGUUGCCUUUGUUUGGAGCAACUGAUGCUUCUCAAGUGUUGAAGGAGCUUGAUGAAGUUGUUGUUGCUUACCCUAAUGCCUUUGUCCGUAUCAUCGGAUUCGACAACGUUCGUCAAGUUCAAUGCAUCAGUUUCAUUGCACACACACCUGCGGUCUACUAAAUUUGAGUGUUAAAUCACUCUCAGCUGCCAUUGGAAGAACAUCUUUUUCUCUCAAUUUGUUCUGAUUGUAAUGUCUUCCUUUGUUUUUUGGUUUUCGCUUUCGGAUUUCAAAAUGCAAAUGUAUGGAUAAGAGUUAAUAAAUGAAAUGGUACCUUUUUCAUUCUCAAGUUAGUAGUAUAUGUUGUUUUCCUUGUAAUGGCUUGAACUUGAAACUUUAAAUAACAAAGGAACUAAUAGUAUGAUAUUAAAGAAAAAAAAAUUGCAUUUCCACCUAAUUCAUUCUCAUCUUUACCAAAAUUAUGCACAAUCAGUACAUCUUUGCAAGAAAUAUUUUUGACAGAAAUUAUGAACUGAAUAUCGCUGGCGCUCCAAAAAGCAAUCCGCGGUCUCAAACUCAUCUUCAUACGCUAAAUUUUAGGCCUUAGCUUUUACUGGUUGGGAAUUGCAAUUCCUUGCAUACCUUCAGCAUGAUUUCCAUUUAUUUUUUAUUUUCUAAUCUUCCUCAUGCAGUAACAGCCAAUUCACUCACUAUAUGGCAGCCAAUUCCAUCUUUUACGAAUGGAAAAAAUACAUUGAAAUUGACCGUCACAUUGUUAUGGAAAAAGUUUCAACCGCAGUUUUUGCAAUGUCGACUGCCUAUUUCCGCAGUCGAUCAAGUGGCAGACCUGCUCACAAAACAUCUUGAACCUACCCACUUUAAUUGUCUACUUGCCUACCUGAAAGUUCUAAAUAUACAAUACUCAUAUAUUAGUAACUAAAUGAAGGGACUAAAUUGUUAGUGCAAGAUGUGUUUCUUGCACUCCUAGGAACUAAAUGAAGGGACUAAAUUUGAAAGAAACACUAUGAGUGAAUUAUAUUGAUUAUGAAAACUGAAUGAAUGAAUACAUGGGAUACAAUUACAAGUAUUUAAAGACUUUUCUAAUUACUUGAAUCACAAGUAAACUAACAAAUACAAACCAACUUGUUAGUUACUAACCACCAACUUCUCUAACAAACUAGUUGUAACUAACUACUACUUUGUAGUUGAAUUAAUCCACAACAAUAAUACCUUAGCUAAAACUUUAGCUUAAACAAUGCAAGGCAUUCUAUAUUGGUGAUUUUAUUCAUGAGUAAAGUGGACAUAUUUCAAAAAGUAAAAGGAAAUGAUACUAAGAGCCAAAACCAGCUAUAACUUAUAGAAGUGUACAUGUUUUAAUUUUUCAAUAAAUCCUAGAAAAAGUGAGAGAUUCUUGAAGAUUAUAAAUAAUGCUGAAGAUAAAUAGAUCAGAAAUUAAUAUAACCUAAUAAACAAGACUUAAAACUUCAAGGUAACGUCUAUCCGGUAAUGGUCUUGAGCAAGUUCAGAUGGUGCGACGACAUGCACCUAUUUUUUAAGGGCACCAAUAAUCUCUUAUUAAUUUUUUAGUCCUAUGAUAAAAGACGUUGUAUGUAAAGGUUGGGGACAGUAAUCGAUUAAAUUAAGUUGUCCUGCUUUAAUUUCUAAUUUUUUUUUAAGAAUGUUUCGAGAGAUGCUAGUAUCGAACCGAGUACCACAAAGUUGAGAGGUGAUUUUCCAAUCAAGUGAUCUCUCUUUUUACUGGCAUUUUUUCUAAGAAUGUUGAUUGUGAAGUGAUGGAUGAUCAAUAAUUUUGCAGAUAUAAAUGCAAAGAUGAUAAAUUUAAAUGAUUUCGAAGAAAAAAAUUUCUCGGAUCAUAUAGAGCAUCCAAAAUCUCAAGGACAACCCUACUUCCACUAUUAAGUUCUUCUUACUUAUCAUAGUCCACCUUUCAUAACUUUGGAAAAAAAAAUAAAGGAAAAGAAUGAAGUUGUAAUUUUAUUGCAUUUUUUAUGGACCUAUACAACCAUUUUUAAGGGAGAAUAAGUGCCAUUCUUUUGGUUGUUCCAAAUGUAAGUAUCUUCCACGGUAUAAUUGAAAUUGGCGUGGAUGUGAUUUAUGUGGUCAGAGGUCGUAUGAGAUGACUGGGUAUAGAGAAUAUGCGUGUGAGGAUCAUUAGCCGAGAGAACAUAUUUAACCGUAAGCUGAAUGUCAUGAAUAUCUAUAUAAGGAACAAGAGACCCAAGAAUUCCAAGAGUUGUCCAUUGACUAAACCAAAAGGAUGAAGACCCAGACUCAGCACGCCAGACAUAUCAUGCUUUAAGAACAUUUUUAGCUUUGAUGAUGGAGGACGAAGUGGGAGAGCCGUUGGGGCUAUCAGUUGCUUGAGAGGAGGUUUGCCAGAAGAUUGAAUCACGUCCAACACUAGCUUUCCUAAAAGGCAAGUAUUCGCCUCCCUAGCUGAUCUGAUUCCAAGGCCACCAAGAGAUUUAGGACGAGAAAUCUUUUUCCAACCUACUAAAUGAAUGCUUUUAUCAUUUGUACUUCUCUAAAUGAAAUUUCUAGUUGUUUGAUCAAUGUUUUCACAAAUGGAUUGAGGAAACCAACUAAUCUGCAUGUAAUAAGAUGGAAUGGAGGAAAUAAUAGAAGAAAGAAGAGUUAAUCUAUCAGGUUUAUUCAACAAUCUAUUAUUCCAGGAUACCAAUCUUGUUUGCAUUUUCUCAAUAAUAAAAUAGAAAUUAUUCCUUUUCACCCUUCCUUUCAGAAUAGAGAAGCCUAAAUACUUAUCAGGAGAAAUAGUGCUUCUAAUUCCUGAAAUAGAUGUCAGCUUGUUAAUCUUAACUUGAGGAAUGUUUGAGAAAUAGAAAGCUCUAGACUUGGACAAAUUAAUUUUCAAUCCUGAAGCAUGACUAAAGCGGUCAAAUAAAUUAGAAAAGACUCUUAGCUGAGAAUUUCUUGCCUUAGAAAAAAGGAGGUCGCCGUCCGCAAAAAGAAGAUGGGACAACUUCGGCCCUAAGUUGGUGAUGUGGAUGGGUUCCCAGUUUCCUCGGAGGACAACGUUGUUGAUGGAAAUUGAGUGUUUUUCCAUACAAAGAAUGAAAAGAUAUGGUGAGAGUGGAUCACCUUGUAUGAGGCCAUGAGUAGGCUUGAAGGGAGACAUCUUUUUCCCAUUCGAGAGGAUAGAGAAAGUGGAGGAGGCAACGCAAUGCAUGAUAAGAUUGGUUGUGAUAGUAGAGAAACUGAAAUCUUGAAGAGUACUCUUGAGGAAGUCCCAGUUGAAAAUAUCAAAAGAUUUCUCAAGAUCAAGUUUGAAAGCAGCAGAACCUUUUUAUUUUAGACCUUCUCAUAAAAUAAAAGAUUUCCUGCAAAACAAUGGCAUUGUCAGAAGUGCUUCUGCCUGGAAGAAAGUUGCUUUGGUAGAGACCAAUAAUAAUAUCAAGAAUCGGUCUUAAAAGAUGGAGUAAGACUUUAGUGAUAAUCUUGUAGACAAUAGUGCAGAGGCUGAUCAGUUUAAAAUGUUUAUAAGUGGUGGAAGGCCGAUUUGACAAGACUAAAAAUAUCGUCCCCAACUAUAUGCCAAUAUUGUUUGAAGAAAAUGCAUUGGAAAUCAUAUGGACCCGGCGCCUUAUAAGGCUUCAUGGAAUUCAGGGAUAUAACAACCUCCUCUUUAGUGAUUAAAAAUGAUAGAGUUCUCUCGGAGGUUAUUAUCAUUAUAUAUUAAAUUCAUAUAAUGGAGGUUGUACAUAACUGAUAAAUUUGAGAGAAUAAGAAUAUGAAAAGUGGCAAAUUUUUAAGAAAGGAUGAGGAGAUUUUUUAGAGAUGCCACACAGGAACAAUAGAAGUCUAAGGUUAAUCGAAGUUUAGAAUUCAAGAUAGUAUAGAAGAUAGAUAGAUAGAUGAUAGGUAACGAUUAUUUAUGGAAUUUUUUGAAAAAUACUCUCUAGAAAAACGAAAUACUUUUUAAUUUUGACCGAAAAAAAAUAAUACUUUUUAUUUACAUUUAUUUUAUACGAUUGAGUCAAACAAAAAUUUAUUCCAUGUUUUCUCGAUAGAUGUAUAUAUAGCACAAUUGAGGUCAUAUUCAUCUCAAACAAUAAUAGUUUUAAGCAAAAGAGUAGUGCUAUAUGUCCCGAUAAGAGAUAAAGUUCUAAGCAUGCAUUUUGGCGAAAUACAAGGGUGGGUGGCCAAUGAAAUAUCGUUGUGAGACAAUCACGAUGUAUGGUCUCGUGAUACUAAGCAAUUUCCAAUUCAAAAAUGGAGGUCUCACUCUACGAUAGAGUUUCAAUCAACCCUUUUCUCGAUUAAUGCAUUUCGAUUUUAGUUCAAAAUUAUUUGUUGUAGUCUUGAAUUGAUUUUUAAUUUUUUUUCUUCAGGUUUUACAUCAAAAAAUCUCACGGCGUUCGCUUCCUCCUCACUAGCUGAAAAGAAGAAGGUUAUGUUCAUAACGGGUACAAUUAACACUUGAAAAACUAUACUUUUCAUCUACUUAGGUACUCAUUUCCACUAUGAAACCAUCAAUUCAAAUAAAAUUCAAAUUUAUUAAGAUCUUGACUUGACACCAACUUGGUACCAUAAUUUGAACGUUGUUCGAUUUCACAUCACAUAUUAUGCAUCAUCAAUGAUACAUAUAUGAUUUCCCUAUGAUUAAUUUUUGCAAACACAUGCCUGAAACUCUAUAUUCAUAGCUGAAAAAUGGACAUCUAACCAUUAUUGUAGGAGGGUCACGUUCUUACAUUGAAAUAUUAGUUGAUGACCCAAUCAUUGAAUUUUGUUCAAAAUGUUAUUGUUGUUUCAAAAAUCAAUCACAAUGAAAUCAUAAUCCUAAUUAUUGCUGACGCCUAAUAUGUGAUGUCGAAUCGAACAAUGUUCAUACUCUAAUACCUUGUUGGCGAAAGGUCAAGACCCGUAUAGACUUGAAUUUUAUCUGAGUUGAUGAUUUCAAAGAGGAAUCAAGUACUUAGGUAGAUGAAAAAAAUUAUUUUUUCCAAUUCCAAUUGCUUUCGUUAUGAACAAAACCUUGUUCUUUUCGGCUAGUAUAUUGAGGAAAAAAAAGACAAGAUUUAUUUUAUUUUAUUUUUUAUGUAUAACCUAAGGAAAAGACAAUAAUACAAAUAAGGCUUAGACACACUUUUGACCCCCUAACUUUAAACUAGUUGCAAUCUUGACCCCCUAUUAAAAAAAAAACACAUUUCAGUCCCCUAAGUUUCCCCCUUUUUGCAACUUUCAAUUUUGAUCAUUCAAACUCAACCAUUUAGGACAAUAAAAAUAAGCGGGGUAUUUUGUUUAGCAAGUUUCAGGCGAUCUUGACCUUCUACCAUCUUGAAUGGUUGAUUUUUAAUGAUCAAAAUUAAAAGUUGUAAAAAGGGAAAACUUAAGGGACUCAAAUGUGUUUUUUUUUAAUAAGGGGACAUAAUUGCAACUAAUGUAAAGUUAGGGAGGCAAAAGUGCGUUUAAGUCUAAAAAUAAUUUAAAUAUACAACAAAUGAUUUUGAACUAGAAUUGAAAUGGAUUAAUCUUAUGCAUGUUGUCAAUAAGGAUACUAUGUAUAUGAAGAAGAGAAUCAAUUGAAACUUUAUUUGUGCUAUGUAUAAUGAUGUAUGAUAUAUGGAGAGAGGGACCACUAUAGGCGAGUUUGGAAUCAAUUUUGCAGAAGGUUCAUGGAGGGCGGGUUUAUCGUUGUAGGCGUGGUAGAGGUCUUAGGACUAUCCCGUAGUUUUAUGGUCUUGUAAUAGUAUUUUGAACAAAUUUGAUGUUUUUAAUUUGAUGUUUAAAUAUUUGUUUUGUAUCCUACAAAUAUUUUGUUUUUAAUAUUAUUUUUGAAAAUUGUGUUGUUUCUUAUCUUUUCAUUAUAAUAUUUUAUUUAUUCACAAAUGCAUGUUUAUAUCAAAUGAUUAUGUAAUCUGUAUGUAUUAGAGUGAAAACAAACUCUAUUUCUAUUCUAAUACCUUUCGGAUUAUAUAAUUCGAACAUUUUUAUGACAUUCAGAUUAUAUAAUCUUAAAUAUGCGUUUUUUUACACCACAAUUUCCCCUUCUGGGGUGUUUGCUGCAUUUUUCUAAGAAUGUUGAUUGUGAAGUGAUGGAUGAUCAAUAAUUUUGCAGAUAUAAAUGCAAAGAUGAUAAAUUUAAAUGAUUACGAAGAAAAGAAAAAAAAAAUCUCAGAUCAUAUAGAGCAUCCAAAAUCUCAAGGGAAACCCUACCUCCACUAUUAAGUUCUUCUUACUUUUCAUAUUCCACCUUUGAUAACCUAGGAAAUAAAAUAAAGGAAAAGAAUGAAGUUGUAAUUUUAUUGCAUUUUUUCUGGACCUAUACAACCACUAUAUGCUCACGUUCCUACUUAGAAAUUAAAAUUAAAUUGUUCUAAUUCAAUGUUAUAAUCAGAAAACUAGCUUUGAAGGAAGGAAAUGUCUUACUCGAUAUGACUUUGUCCACCGAAACUGACAUCAAGGGGGGAUCGAACGUGAAACUUUGAGAGAAACAAAUUCCAAGAUCACAAAUUAACCACAAGGUCAACCCCAAAUGAGUUUUUUUGGUUACCAUUAGAAAACCGUGUAUAUUUUAACAUAAUUUGGAUGAUUAAUUAUGUGUAGUAUAUGUGUAUUUAAACACUUAAAAAUGAUGGCUAAUUGUAUUCAUUUAAUGAUUAAUAGAUUGCUACCAAAUAUAAUUAACCACAUCUUUGCAGUUUGUUACACCCAAAAAACUAACCACAUAUUUGAACCAUGUUAACCAUCUAAUUGAUGUCAAAUUUGUUUGUCAAAGUAAUACAACUCAUCAUCGAUUUGUGAGUCUUGACAUUUUCUACAAAUAAAUGUAUACACAAACCGAUUGCUAUAAAUAUGAUACACUUAUUCUUUAUCCCUAUGAGGAGCCAAAGCCUGAAAAAAAAACUAGUACCAUACACGAUUGAUAUUUUUAGUUUUUUGGUCAAGUGGUUUAUAUUUAUGGAAGCAUUAAUAGUCACACAACUACACGUGGCAAUUUCAUAUUGGUGGCUAAAGAUAAGGCACCACAAAAAUUUCCAAUCUUGUUGUGUGGUUAAUGGCUGCAAUGUUUAUCAUUUUCACAAUCAAACAAAAUUGUAUUAUGCAGCAACCAGUUACCACAAUUUUUAGAACCAUAAUAUUGGAAAUACAAAAAUAAAGACAUUAUAUAUAGCAAGUUUGAGUAUAGGCUUUGAAAUUCAAGCAGAAGUAUAUCUUACAUUACUAGUGAACUAAGUAAGGGAGAAAAAAAAUGGCUUCCUCUAUGAUUUCCUCUUCAGCUAUGACUACAGUUAACCGCGCCUCUUCGGUACAAUCCGGCGCGGUGGCUCCAUUCGUUGGACUCAAGUCCAUGGCUGGCUUCCCAGUUACAAAGGUCAACAAGGACAUUACCUCUAUUACAAGCAAUGGUGGAAGAGUAAACUGCAUGCAGGUGAGAAAAAUAAUAGGCCUACUAUUUUAGUUUAUUAUUAGCAUAAUGGAAACAAUUUAUGACAUGUCUGUAAACUGUUUUCAUCUUAUAUUUUCAUAAGCUCUUCAGGAUAGUAGGAUAGUUUAUGAAAACAGCUUAUAGAUUAUAUGAAAAUAGCUUAUAGAUUCAUUGAGAAAUGCACACAAGUUUGUUAACCCUUUUGUUCAAUUUUAGGUGUGGCCUCCUAUUGGCAAGAAGAAGUUUGAGACACUUUCAUACCUUCCACCAUUGACCAGAGAACAAUUGGCCAAAGAAGUUGAAUACCUUAUAAGGAAGGGAUGGGUUGCUUGCUUGGAAUUCGAGACCGAGGUCUAGUUUUAAUUUAUUUUCAAUGCCUUUUCAAUGAACAUAUAUAUAGUUUUGAAUUUAGAUGGUUAAUUGGUUUGUCAUGGUUAAUCUACUUGCAGAAAGGAUUUGUGUACCGUGAGAACCACAGUUCACCAGGAUACUAUGACGGACGUUACUGGACAAUGUGGAAGUUGCCUUUGUUUGGAGCAACUGAUGCUUCUCAAGUGUUGAAGGAGCUUGAUGAAGUUGUUGUUGCUUACCCUAAUGCCUUUGUCCGUAUCAUCGGAUUCGACAACGUUCGUCAAGUUCAAUGCAUCAGUUUCAUUGCACACACACCUGAAGUUUACUAAGUUUGAGUAUUUAAUCACUCUCUGCUGCCACUGGAAGAACAUUUUUCGUUGUUUUUCGAUUUACGCUUUCGGAUUUCAAAUGCAAAUGUAUGGAUAAGAGUUAAUAAAUGAAAUGGUACUUUUAUUCAUUCUGAAAUUAGUAGGAUAUGUUGCUUACCUUGUAAUGUCUUGAACUUGAAAUUUUAACUAACAAAGGAACCAACAGUAUGAUAUUAAAGAAAGAUAAAUUACAUUUCCAGAUAAUUCUUUCUCAUUUUCACCAAAAUUAUGCACAAUCAGUACAUCUUUACAAGAAACUUUUUUGAGCAGAAAUUAUGAACUGCAUAUCGUUGACGCUCCAAAAAGCAAUCCACGGUCUCAAAGUUAUUUUCAUACGCUAAAUACUAGGUCUUCGCUUUUACCUUCUGAAUGACAGCCAAUUUACUCACUAUAUUGCAGCCAAUUCGAACUUUUAUGAAUGGACAAAAUACAUCGAAAUUGACCGUCAUAAUUUUAGGGAAAAAGUUUCAACCAAAGUUGUUGCGUGAUCUUACUGCCUAUUUCCGCAGUCGAUCAAGUGGUAGACUUGCUCACAAAACCUAUUGACCCUACGCCCUUUAAUUGUCCAGUCUUCAUCUGUUAGUAGAUAAUCCUUUUGUUUGGCUUUUCAAUCAUGUUUGUAUUUCCUAUUCUAUAACUUCCAUCAUGAAUAACAUUUUAAGUUCUUCACAUUUGAUAAUACCUUAGCUGAAAAAAUGUAAGGCUCUCUGCAUUGGUGAAAAUAUUUAAAAGAGUAAAUCAAAAUGAUACAAGAGCCAAAAACCAGAUUUUACUAUUCAGAGUUUGCUAUUUAUUUAUAGGGCAAUGCUAAACCGUGCCCCCAGAGGCAAUGGUUAAGCAUCCAAAACAAGAAAGUUUUCACAAAAAAAGUAAUGUAAUCGUUAUUUAGUCAAAAGUGAGACCUUAUGUUUCCAAGACAAAAUUUCUAUUCAUGGAUUCCUUAACCAAUGCCCAAGAAGCACUGGUUAACAAGACCCUUAUUUAUAACACUCCUUCUCAACUUAGUGAGUGGAUAUAAAUUAUUCCAAGCUUGCAAGUAAAAAGGUUGAAUCAUUCUGUCGGACAGAAAACUCUUUGUUAACACAUUUGUCUGUUGAUGCCCAAAAGGAACAUAAGCUGUAGUUGUCAGUUCUGUUGUGAAUUCGGUAACUUCAAAUCUUACACCAAUGAAAUUUAGAUUUGUGGUGAAGUAUCAAUGUAAACUAAUAACCACAAGCAACAACAACAAUUUUAGAUCUAAUCUAAAAACUAAGUGUAAAGCAAAACCACAAUCGAACAAAAGAAGAAACAAGAUAAAGAGAAUAGAGAAAAAGAGCAACGCCAAACAACCGUUUACCUAGUUCGGUCUAUCAUUGACCUACUUUGGGAAAGAGAUCAAGUUCCUUACAAAGAGAUACAAAAAAGGGUUACAAGAAAUUCGCUUCAACAAGUUCUCCAAGACAAAACCUAAUUUCUACCUUUUUCCCAAUCUCAUUCCAUGAACAAGAGACUCAAUGAUUUCACUCACCAAAGGUGUUUCCCAAUUGUUUUUCAACUCUAGAAUCUAACCCCCCAAAAGAGAACCAAUCCAUAUCCUUUGAUUUCCCAAAAAUAUUCUCUUUUGGUUUUCCAAGACUCACUCAAGUUGCUCGCAAAACUCUCCUUUGAUGUGUUUUCCAAAAGGGUCUUGUUACAAGUGUCCCCGGGACACUCUUUAAGCAUUCCAAAAUUAGUAAUUAUUUUUUAAAAAAGUUAAAUGUUUCGAUUUCCAAUGCAUUGAUUACACACUUUUUUAUAAAUACAUACUACUUAUAGUCCUUAAAGAGUGUCUCAGGGACACUUGUUAACAUUUCCCUUUCCAAAAUUGUGCCCCAAUUUUCCAAUUCAUACACGAUCGAUGCAAGGGAAUGUUAUCCAAAAUCAUACCCCAAUUUUUGUCGAACCAAAACUCCAAUUGAACUUCACAUUGUAUCUUCAAAUAUAUAUUCCAACACUUGUUUCAUCCAUAAUAGCUCACAAAUUCCUAGUGCCAUAACUCUAUAUUUUUCCUCAACGAUUGAUCAAUCAACUACACUUUACUUCUUAUUCCUUCAAGCAAUAAGGUUCUCACACAAUAAUGUACAAUGGUUAGAAGGAAAUCUUCUACUUGCAUGACCCACCCGCAAACCGUACCGGAUCCUCAUGGAAUAUUGCAUAACACUUUAUCGUUCCAACUUAUCACUUGGCUGUAUCAAUUUGUUUGAUAAAGUUUCAUCUGAAGUAUAUACUAUACACACACAAAAAUAAGAAGAAUUUCAAAAUUCAUUCUAAUACUCACAGCACAUUCCUAAAAAAAUAUAUAUAUAUAUAUAUAUACUCAUAGCACAAUAUGUGCCUAAUAUUAAGAAUAAUAACAACAGUUUAAAAGAUCGAACGACAUGUUGUUAAAGCCAAUGAUUUAACAAUUAACACUGAUUUUAACCAUAGAUUUGAACCUGAUUAUGCUCUAUAAAAAAUAAUAAAAUGAACAACACCUUUGUAUUUUGACACAUGUUAUAAACACAUCACUAAAACAGCACAAUCAACUUUCAUUUCGACUCUUUUUUGUUCGCAUCAAAGUUAGCUAGGAAAUAGCAAGCACAAAUGUACUUUUAAUACAAACAAUUAAUGGAGACGGAAAAAUCAAUUGUAGUUUUAUAACCAAUAGAUAGCCAAAUCCUAUCCCAUAAACAUACUCCAUAAUAAACAAACCAACUAUGAAUGAACAUAAGUUAUCUAUUUUAGAAGCAUUCAUCAUCCAAUAUACAUUAUAAUUCAAGCCUUAAAUGCUAACACAUUUAAGCUUCUUUGCCAAAAAAAAUUCAAUCGUUACUUUCUUCACAAUAUAGACCCUUCAAGAACAUCAACUUCUCCGUGGAUAACUCUUUAGAGAUAACACAUGCAAAACAAAACGCGGCAGUUGGAGAGCAAAUAACAAAAAGUGAUGAAGAUAGUAAUGGAGAGCAAGCAUGGAAACUACAACAAAAGUAUAUAUAUAACCAGCCUUCCUUCAUCAUACGUAUAAAUAGGACAAAAUAAUCCUUUUGUAAGUUGGUUUGUGUUUUAGUGGUUCACUUAUUGGUAAAGCACAAUAGCCAUUGGAGGUACUAUCUUGUUCCAAGAUUAAUUUACAUGCUAGAGAAACAAAUAUUGGAGUUCCUAGAAGAAAAAAGAAUACGGCAGUUGAUGUUGAUGUGGGCGUGAAACAUUGAUGGAAUGAAAAUGUGAUAGGCAAGAAUUGGAGUCCCUAGAAAUUAGAGUUCCAAGGUUAGCUUGCAUAAGAGAACGGACGAAAGGAUGGAAUGGAUGAUUAGGAAAGUUGAACAUUCUUGAUGAGGCCAAAGACAUUGAAUACAUAUUGGCGCCUUCCUCGUCUCUAAUAUAUAUGCCAAUACCUACUCGAUUGUCAUUAUUUGAAAAAGAAGCGUUUAUGUUACAUGUUUAAUACAUUUAUUACUAUAUGAUAUGAAUAUCUCUCAUAUUCUUAAAAAAAUAAAAUCUCACAUAUUUAUUUGAUAAUUAUAAAAUAUAUUUUUCAAUUAGUUUUUCUUGUUAAUGUGAAUAUGAUUUGAUAUAUAUUCGGUAAUUAGUUGAAAGCAACAUAUAUAUUAGAAAAUAUGAUGCAAUAAUAUUUUAAAUAAGUUAUAAUUUUAUUAUAUGGUCUAUGAAGCCCAGAUACAUGAUACGAUUCGACACCGAUACGGGAAAAUUUUAAAAUAUAAGAUACAAUACGGCUUGGAUAUACUUCAAUAAAAAAUUAAAUUUAAACUACAUAUUAAAACUCAAAACACAAAAUAUGGACUAAAACUCAAAAGCAAAAAAAUUGGUGCAAAACCCAGACCAAACAAAAUAGAAAAAGGAUAAGGCACAACAAUGAAAUUGCCUUCACACAACAAUCAACAAUUUCAUCGUUCUCAAACAAACAAAGAGAGAUGAAAGAGACGACAACAACAAUAGAAAUAUAAAUGUAACUAAUAUUAAUAAUAAAGAAAGCGAAAAUUAGUCAAUUACAUAUGUGAUAUAUCCUAAAUAGAAAACAUCAUUACUUAGUCAAUUACAUAUAUACCAAAUAUGAUAGAAACAUCAGGUAGCCCGCACAUAUCAGUUUUCCACCUCCUAUCGCUCUUAUCCCAGAUGUAUCUGAAAAGUAUCGCAUAAUUGUUUUUUUAAAAAAAUAAAAUUUCAUAUUCGGAUACUCUCCUGAUACGUAUCGAGAAGUAUCAAGCAUGUAUCAGUGCAAGAUACACAGGGGAUAAUGUUCAUCAUCCAUUUUGAAGUAUCUGGACUUCAGAGUAUAUGGUACAAAAUAUACAUGUGAAUCAAAAAGAAAAUAAUGACGAAGAUUAUGAAGUUUUUGUGUUUUUUAAAUGUGUGAAAUUUUAUUAAUUUUUUUAUAAAAAAAGUUUAUUUAACUUUUAUAUUAUGAAAUUUAUAUCAUCAUAUUUUUUUAUAAAGAUUGGGUUAAUAGUUAUGCGGUCCGAUCAAUGACCAAUUGAUCCAACCAUUGACCUAAUGACCCAGUGUUUUGGCCGAAUCGACUACCGGUUCGGGUUUUUAAAACACCGGAUUCACUGCAAGUAUUGGGUCAUUUACUCAUGUAAUUCAUUGUUGCUGGGAUAACUAACAUAUUUCAGGUCCUCCUCUAUGUCUGACCCGAAUUCCCAUAUAGAGAGAUAUUUUAAAUAGGAACCAAACGCAAGUACUGGACAUAACAAUAUAAGAUAGAACAACACAUCAGAAGGUAGAACAACACAUGACAAAUUUUUAUGGCAUUGAAUAAUUUUUUGUUUUAUACAAUUUUUGGGUACGAAAUGCUAUUUUUGUAUUUUUGACAACCUGUACGUGAGACAAAAAGUUGUGAUGUGGUUUGAUGAGGGACAAAAAUAUCAGCUUUUGUCAUGUCCCUUGCCUCCAGUUUGUCCUGUACAUGAAACAAUUUUACAAAUCAAACACUGGACAACUGAAGUUGUUUUGUCCUAUCCUUUAUUUUUUAGCAAAUCAAAGGCACCCAUUAUAUUAUUUCAGUGUUUUAGCUAUUUCUAUCUCAUAGUGGAUUUUCGAUUUUGCCAAAACCGAAUCAAUUCAUUGUUUAAGAGGACUAUGAUUCAUCUCCUUCAUAGAUGCUUGCAAGUAUUCUUAGUUUUAUGUUCGAAUUAGGGGAUGUUUGGUUUCUUACUAAUCCGCGGUCAAUGUUUGAAUUUCUGUACUAAUACAUCCAUAAAAACUUGAUUUGUUUUGACAUGUGGACAAUAGCAAAAAAGUGUCCUUUUUUUAAGGAAAGCAAAAAAGUUUUUGAACAAGAGGAAAGCAAAAAAGUGCCCUUAGCAUUUAUUAAAGGAAUACAAAUUUUAGAUGGUAUUCUGGUUGCUAAUUAGGUAGUUGAUGAAUCUAAAAAAUUGAAAAAAGAAUUGCUUUUAUUUAAAGUCGACUUUAAGAAAGCAUACAAUUCAGUUGAUUGGAAAUAUUUGGAUGAUAUUAUGGUUACGAUGUUGUUUCCGACUAUUUGGAGGAAAUGAAUGAAAAAAUGUGUUGGGACUGCUACUGCGACUGUUUUAUUGAAUGGUAGUCCCACUGAGAAAUUCACUUUAGCUAGAGGUCUGCGACAGGGAGAUCCCCUUUCACCUUUCUUGUUCCUUCUGGUGGUUGAGGGGUUUCAUGUGAUGAUGGAGUCUAUUGUUAAUACUAAUAAUAUUUUUAGUGAUUACAAAGUAGGGGGUCGGCCAUUAACUAUUUAUAACCCUCAGUUUACGGAUGAUAACUUUGAUUUUGGGGGAAAGAAGUUGGGCUAAUGUUCGAGCUAUGCAUGUCACCCUUCAUCUUUUUGCAGCGAGGUCUGGUUUAAAGGUUAAUUUCCACAAAAGUGAGUUAGUUGGCAUAAACAUUGGUGGGUCUUGGUUAGCUAAAGUUGCGGCGGUUUUGAAUUGUAAGGUUACAACAUUGUUUGUUUUGUAUGUGGGCCUCCCUAUUGAUGGAGAUUCUCGUCGAUUGAAUAUUUGGGAACCGAUGGCUAAUCGUAUUAAGUCCCACCUGUCAAGUUGGAAAAGUAGAAAUUUUUCUUUUCCAUUUGUUUGGACAUGGAAGUUGGUGUUUUGGAGGUUAUGAGAAUCAGAGAGUUUAAUUUAACGUUGUUGGGUAAGUAGUGUUGGAGGCUGGCGGUGAAUUGAAAGGGUCUCUGGUUUAAAGUCUUGGUUGAGAGGUACGGGGUUGUUGGGGGAGGUUGGAGGAGGGUGGUAGGGAUGGAUGAGUGUGGUGGAGGGAGGUAGCAGGCAUCCGUGAUGGCGUAGGUGCGGGUGAAGGAUGCUGGUUCACUGAUAAUUUGCGCAUUAAGGUUGGUAAUGGUGCCACCGCUUUGUUUUGGUUGGAUAUGUGGGUGGGUGAUGUUCCUCUUCGGGACAAGUUUCAUCGUUUAUUUGAUUUAUCAGAAAAUAAAGACUCGCCUAUCGCUCAAAUAUUUUCGUUAGGGUGGGGUGAGGGAGGGGAGGCUUGGAAGUGGAAGAGAAAAUUAUGAGCGUGAGAGGAGGAGAUGGUAGAUGAGUGUAGGGUGUUACUGCUGACUGUUUCUUUGUAGGGUGAUGUUCAUGAUGUUUGGUCUUGGGGUCCUGAUCCAAUUGGUGGGUAUUCGGUCAAUGGUGCAUGAUGUAGGAGGGUUUCCAUAGUAUUUUAUUAUUUCAAUCUAAUUUUAUUAUUGGUUGUUUUGUUUUCAGUUUUUUUUUUGCCCAUUAGGGUUUUGUUAUUUCCCUAGUUAAGCUUUAACAUUGUAGGCCAAAGAGGCAACUUUUAUUCAUUCAAUAAUAUUUUAGAGAGUUUUUCUCAAUUUUUGGUGGAUUAUGGAACCCUAUUUUCACAAGUUCAUCGCUUACAAACUUGUUCCUUUCAAUCUAGGUUUAGCGCUUGCUAGCCUAUCCUUCCGUACUAGUCAGUUGGUAUCAGAGCAGGUUUCUCCUGUUCUUUUCCUAACAUGAUCAGCCAUAGGCCGGGCAGGCCUUGAGGGAGUGCAAGGUGCUCAAUCAAGCCGGGCCUCCAAAAUCUAUGGGCCUCCGAAAAAAUUAACUCUAAUACCCACCCCACUUAAAUAUAAAAAUAUAUAUGUUACUUCUUUACACGUUUGAGUUUCUUCUAGACUUUAGUUCUCCUAUCUGGACAUAAAUUUGGUACUAUCAAACCACUACCAAUUGGUAUAAUGACUUAAUCAGUCAAUUUGAAAAGUUAUUUCAUAGAAAGAAUCACAACAAUCAUUUCUUUUUCACAUAAACCAUUCGUUUUCCCCUUUCCCACAACGGAUAAUUGACAUAUUCAAAUGACACCGUUUGUAAAUUCUACCUCUCUUUCACUUAAUUUUUUUGUAUUUCGUUUCAUGUUUACAAGCUCUUCUGAUUCUGAUUUUUUAAUAAAGCUUAGCUACACAAAAAAAUUACGUUUUUAUUUUAUUGGGGAUCUAUUUUAAAUAGAGAGCCGAGCCUUCUAUUUCAUAGGGACGGCCCUAUAGGUGAUCAAAAUUAAAUGGAAAGUUUAGUCUUCUUUAUCAUUCCCUUCUUUUCAAUUAAAGUUGUCGUCCCUCUAAAUUUCCAUUCCCUAUUUCAAUUGUCGUUCAAGUUAUUAACUUCAUCCAAAGUCCAUUUAUUUCAAGUGCUGCUACAUAUUACUUUCUUUUUUCAAUCGAAUUGCUGGCUGUUGUGUAUCAUAUUUUGCUGGUGGCUGUUUGAAUUGAAUUUGCAUGGUUAGAAAUUCAACAUUAUGUCGUGCCCUUAUAAUCUACCUCCUCCGGUCCUAUAUAUAAGAAACAAUUUACUUUUUUGAUUCAUUGAAUAGUUGAUGUAUUUGGUCUAUUUCUGAACUAGGUACAUCAAUUAUUGAAUGAAUCUAAAAAGUUAACUUUUUCUGAUAAAUAAGACCGGAGGUAGUAUAUGAUUGCCGCAACCAUUCUUCUUUUUAAUUAAAGUUUCCAUCUAAUUAAAUUUAAUCCAACCAUGAGAGAUCAACAGGUCGUGAUUUUAACUGCGGCCAUCAAAGCACUAUCAGAUCAGAUGGCAACGUUGAUAGCUAAGGUUGACGAGAUAAAAAACAGUAACAACAACAGAAAUGAUCCGAACAGAGGAGGAGGAUCAAUUCCGGUUAUUAGGGUUCGUAAUAACAACCAUAUUAUUGUUAUGUAUCGAAAAUUAGAACAUACUCGUGAAGGUGAGAAAAAACACAAGAAGGGGGGGUUGAAUUGUGUUUUCUUUUUCUCUCUAAAAAAUACUUCUUCUGAUAAAAACUUCAGAAGCAGUUUGUGAAUGCUUCUGAUGAAAUGAUCAGAAUCAGAUAUGCAGCGGAAAAGAUCAAAGCAGAGAAAAGAAAAGCAAGACACAAGCAGUUAUCCUGGUUCCUUCCACAAAAUGGAAGUAGUCCAGUCCCCCUUGCACUUCCAAGGAGAUUUCACUAUAAUCACAAAGAUUACAAAUGCUCAAUACUCUCUAAGUAUGAGACUUCUCAAAAAUGCUCAAGCACACACGCAAGAGUCUUCCAAUGCUCAAGCACUAAGCAAGAGUCUUCUAAUGCUCAAGCACGCAGGCAAGAGGCUUCUGAUCAAACAAAAAUACAAUGAAUUAAGUUUGACUUGAACACUUGAUAUACAAUCAGUGGUGUUCACAAUACAAUACAAUAAAGACUCUAGACUUUUGAAUUUCUAAGAUGUAUCAAAUCAGUGCAGAAAUUCAGUGUGCUUUGUAGAAUCAAAUUGACAGAGUUUUGGCGCUUUUUAACUUGUGUAUCUCUAUCUACAAUCUUCAAGUCUUCACUCCUUUAUAUAGAGGCGUGAAAGAGACGUUGAGAUAAUUAGCACGUCUAAAGAGUCGUUUGAAAUCCUUUGAUCAUUCACCAGUAAUCCUUUGCCUGAUUUGGGUGUAGUCCUUUGAAGAAUUAGCUUCAAAUUCAUUCCCAUCUUGAAGGCACAAAUUCUGCAGGCAUAGCUGUUGUCUUGUCUUGUAGCGUGGACAAAACAGAGUAGUGGAGGUAGUGGUUGUACACUUGUACUUUGUCAACUCUGUUAACGAAGGACAAAUACUCAGUGCUAUCCAAAUGACCGUUGAUACCUCCCUUUCAAUUCUUCGUUCUUCUUAGAUAAUGUUGAAAUGAGAAACAGCUACUUUGGAUCUUCAGUUUGAAUUUACGGAUAAAAUGUAGCUUCUGGUGAUGAUAUCGCUUCUGAUGAAAACCUUGCUUCUGAUGAGCUUCUGCUUCUGAUGACGUCAUCACUUCAGAUGCACUUCAGCUUCAGGAGCACUUCAAGCUUCAGACGCAGUUUUCUUCAGAUGCUAUGAAUUCCUUUGCUUUCCAUUGUUCUUCCAAGACCUAUUGAAAUUACUUGACUAGCAUUUGGUCCUGUAUACUUGAACAAUAAUUAGAAAUAACCAAUUGACAAUUUUUAAUACCUUGUUAUCAUCAAAACUCAUUAAGGUUCAUUGUAAAACACAUUUUGUUCCAACAACUCGUGAAUCUGAACAAGUUGAAGGAUGAUCAUUACGAGUUUAAAAUCUCCGAUUCGAUAUAUCGUUGUCCGUUUUGUUACAACAAGGAUUCCUUGACCGACCUUUUGAGACAUGCUUUUAGAAUUGCAGGUAACUUGCGUAAGACGGUUAAAGAUAUUGCCAAACAUUCAGUUUUGAUAACAUACAUUCUAAGGUAUCAUAAUGUUAAUGUUGAUAAAAAUAAGCCACUUGAUGUUAAUAUUGCUAGUGAUAGCCACUUGGUGUCGGUAUUGCUAGCGGUAAGCCAGUUAAUUUGAGUGUCGUUGAUCAGAAGUCGCUUGGUAUGAAUGUAACUAAGUGUCAGCUAGCGAACGUGAAUGUUGUUGAUAGUUUUGUUGCCACAAUGGAAGAAUACAUUAAGGAAUCCACCAAUGAGAAGAUUUGUACAACAUAUUUCUCUAAUAAGAAGCCGCGGUUAUCCUCCGAUGCAUGCUCAGAGAUGCCAGAAAUAAUUAUCACCGAAAUUGAGAGUACGAUGGAUGUUAAUCCUCCAGAAUCUGCUGCGAUAAUCAUCCAGGCUUCAAUUAGAGGAUAUUUAGUUCGGAGAGCACUUCUAAAGAGUAAGAAUGUAGUGAAGUUGCAAGCUGUUGUUCGCGUUCACUUGGUUAGAAGGCAUGAUGUUGGAGCAUCGCGAUGUAUUCAAGCUAUUACUAAAAUGCAAGCUCUGUUUUCAGUUCCGAAUCACAAUUCAACAAUGGGAUUAGGAGUCAAUAUUGCAAGAAUGAAAGGGGGUGAAAUUUAAGGAAGAUGAUUCCCAGAGUAUUGACUGUGAAAUAGUGGAGAAAAUGGAAGCUCGAUAAGUGCCAUAAUGGUUAUUCGUGAAAUAGAUGAUGGUCAAUAUUUGAUGCUUCGGAAUAUGUUACCUCUGAUGUGAUUCAAACACCACUUGAAGUUUUCAAAAGCAUGGAAGCUGAUGGGUUUCCCAUUAAGCGUGGUCGUGUACCCAUCACCUAUGCACCUGAUAUUUUGGAAAAUAAUAUUUUGCUUCUGCCAAAGAAUCUGAGCGUUAUGAAUGUCACCAAACCAGAGUUCACCAAAGAUCAAAAUGUAUAUCCUAAUCAAAGCACAAAACUCUAAUGGGAUGAGAAAUGGAAAUAGUUUUGAUGCUGGAACAGUUCAUACUACUAGUUUGGACAUAACUUCUUUGAAUUUCAUUCAAUGGGAUCGUGGAGGGUGGUCGCUUUGUUCAUUGGAGGAGUCAACAUUCAUGGGAAGCUCUUUAUCAGAAUAAGAACUCGGGCUCGAGUUCUUCAGAGGUGGAGGAGACUCAUGCACAAGAGUUUCCAUAGUAUUUCAACCUAAUUUUAUCAUUUGUUUGUUUUGUUUUCAGUUUGUUAUUUUUGGCCCAUUAGGGUUUUGUUAUUUUCCUAUUUAAGCUUAAUAGUUGUAGCCUAAGAGACAACUUUUAUUAAUUCAAUAAUAUUUUAUAGAGUUUUCUCAAUUUCUGGUGGAUUCCGGAACCCUAUUUUAACAAGUUUAUCGCUUGCAAACUUGUUUCUUUUCAAUCUAGGUUUAACGCUUGCUAGCCUCCGCUUCCGACUGCGUCAAUGCAUACCGUAUUCUGACUGACGCGAACUCCCUCCACACUUUCAUUCCAUCAGACUUAUUGUGGAGAAAGGAGUUCACGUUGAAGGUCUCAGUGUUUGCUUGGCGACUAUUUCAGAAUAGAUUAUCAACAAAGGGGAAUUUAUUUUGUCGCGAGAUCAUACCUCAUGAGUCUCAAUUAUGUGUUAGUGUUUGCGGUAAGGAGGAAACAACCCAACUUUUAUAUUUAGGUUGCAUAAUGUUUGGUUCUAUUUGGAAACUUGUUCGAAAUUGUCUUGGAGUUCAUUUGGUCGAUCCGUUGAAUAUUGUUGAUCCGUUGAAUCACGUCGGUCAUUUAUGUUCUUGAUUUGGUUUGCGACUUUUUGAUCGAUUUGGAAGGAAAGAAACAUCAUGAUUUUCGAUGGCAAAGAAAAUGCUAUAUAUAUAUAUAUAUAUAUAUAUAUAUAUCUUUUUGAUAUCUUAAAGCAAAAGGAAAAAAGGGUCCUUAGCCAAUCUUUUAAGAAAAAAUAAAAUAGGGCUUAAAUAAAUUUUUGAUUGCAUAAAAUUUUGCAUUUAGUUCCUCUAAAAUUGAAAUUCUUAAAACUAAUGAAUAAAUUUAUUUUGUAUUUGGGGUUUAGGGUGUCACAUAGAUAAUUAUAUACGAGGUUUUUUUUAAAGGAAUUUAUAUAUAAGGUUAUAAUUGCACCAACAACAUAUUUUUCACCCGGAAAAAAGAGAGAAAGAAAAGGUUGUAAUUACAUGUUAUUAAAAAAAGAUAACAAUUUAUUUAUGGAAUUUUUUCCUAACUACUUUCUAGAUAAACGUAAUACUUUUUUUUUAUUUUUUUAUUUUGACCGUACUUUCUAGAAAAACGUAAUUUUUUUUUUAUUUUGAUCGGAAAAAUCAUAAUACUAAUUAUUUACAUUAAUUUUAUACGAUUGAGUCAAACAAAAAUUUAUUGCAUGUUUCCUUGAGAGAGGUAUAUAUAUAGCACAAUGGAGGUCAUAUUCAUCUCAAACAAAACAUUCAAUUAAAUAAUAUAUUACUAAAAAAAUGAAGUUCUCACACUACAGAAGAGUUUCAAUCAACCCUCUUAGUUAAUGUAUUUCGAUUGUAGUUCAAAAUUAUUUGUUGUAGUCUUGUAUUAAUUUUUUAUGUUUUUUUUUCUUCAGAUUAUACAUCAAAAAAAUCUCAUGGCGUUCGCUUCCUCGUCGCUAGCUGAAAAGAAGAAGGUUAUGUUCGUAAUGGGUGCAACAUACAUCGGAAAAACUAUACUUUUCAUCUACUUAGGUACUCAUUUCCUCUAUGAAAUCAUCAAUUCAAAUAAAAUUCAAAUUUAUAAAGAUCUUGACUUGACACCAACUUAGUACCAAAAUCUGAACGUUGUUCGAUUUUCACAUCACGUUAUGCAUCAUCAAUGAUCCUGAUAUGAUUUCAUUGUGAUUAAUUUUUUGCAAACACAUGCUUGAAACUCUAUAUUUAUAGGUGAAAAUUGACACCUAACCAUUAUUGUAAGAGGGUCACAUUCUUACAUUGAAAUAUUAGUUGAUUACCCAAUCAUUGAAUUUUGUUCAAAAUAAUAUUGUUGUUUUAUUUAGCUUGAUGCUUCUUUGCCUCGUUUGAUUUAAUAUUUAUACAAAAGAGGAGACCAAAUGGUUGAGGCAGAGAUUGUGGAUGAAAUUAGAGAAAAGGAAAAAUUGGAUUCCUAAGCUUGAUUGUUAUUUUGAGAUUGAAAAGGAAAAAUCUCUAAUCUUGUACACAAGACCUGCCUCGACCACUUGAUAAACUCUUUUGUCUACGUAUUGAAACAAAAUAGGCAAAUAAACAUCUAGCCAAAUGAAACAACAUUAAAUCUUUAAACAAAAUGUAAUAAUUGCAUCAUCAACUAAUAUUUAUAAGUGAGAAUUUUCCCUCCUAUAAUAAUGUCUAGGUAACAAUUUUCAACUCUGAAAUAUAAAGCUUCAAACAUGUGUUUUCAAAAAUCAAGCACAGUAAAAUCAUAAUCAGAAUUAUUGGUGAUACCUAAUAUGUGAUGUGGAAUCGAACAAUGUUUAUAUUCAGAUACCUUGUUUGUGACAAGUCAAGAUCCUUAUAGACUUAAAUUUUAUCUGAGUUGAUGAUUUCAUAGAGGAAUCGAGUAUCUAAGUAGAUGGUAAAUUUAUUUUUUCCAAUUCCAGUUGCUUCCAUUAUGAACAAAACCUUAUUCUUUUCAGCUAGUAUUGAGGAACAAAAAACCAUGUUUUUUUUUUUUUUUUUUAUGUAUAACCUAAGGAAAUGACAAUAAUAAAAAUAAUUAAAAACUACAACAAAUGAUUUUGGACUAGAAUCGAAAUGGAUUAAUCUUAUACAUGUUGUCAAUAAGGAUACUAGUUAUAUGAAGAAGAGAAUCAAUUGAAACUUUAUUUGUGCUAUAUAUAAUGAUUUAUGAUAUAUGGAGAGAGGGACGGCUGAAUAUGCAAAUUUGGAAUCAAUUUUGGAGAUUCAUGGAGGGCGGGUUUAUCAUCUUGGGUGUCGUAGGGGUGGCUGAGGUUCUAGGGCUACCCAAUAGUUUUAUGAUGUUGUUGUAGUAUUUUGAACAAAUUUGAUUUUUUUAUUUUAUGUUUGAAUAUUGGGUGUUUGUAACAUAUGGAUAAUUUGUUUUUAAUUUUAUGUUUGAAAUUGUGUUGUUUUUGAUCAUUUUCAUUAUAGUAUUUAUUUAUUUAUUCACGAAUGCAUGUUUAUAUCAAAAGAUUAUAUAAUCUGUAUGUAUCAGAGUGAAAAAAACUCUGUUUUUGUUAUGAUACCUUUCAGAUUAUAUAAUAUGAAAUGUCAUAAAACAAUUCGGAUUAUAUAAUCUAAAAUAUGCCUCUUGUGGGUUGUGGGGUGUUUGACACUUUUCGGAUUAUUUAAGCCAAAUUAUUUUAAGAAGUUUCGGAUUAUAUAAUCCAAAACGUAUGUUUAACUGAGACCUACACAAACAUCUCUAGGGUGCUUUGUCUUCCAAUAGUUUUUAUACUGAUUGGAUUAUAUAAUCCGAACCUAAGGUAUUUUGAGAAAAAAAAUAGGGCGCUCAAGAACCAAAUAGGGUGGAAAAAGUAAUGGCUAAUAUUGAUUGCCCCAGUAAGGAGCCAGAGCCUGAAAAAAGUACCAUACAUGAUUGAUAUUUGUGGAGGCAUUAAUAGUCACAAAACUACACGUGGCAAUUUCAUAUUGGUGGCUAAUGAUAAGGCUAGCACAAAAAUUUCCAUUCCUGUGUGGUUGAUAUGGCAGCAAAGUUUAUCAUAUUCACAACCAACAAAAUGGUAUUAUGAAGCAUUACCACAAUUUAUAAGACCAUAAUAUUGGAAAUAGAAAAUUAAAAAUAGUAUAUAUAUAAGUUUGAGUAUAGGUUUUGCAAUUCAAGCAGAAGUAUAUCUUACUAGUGAACUAAGGGAGAAAAACAUGGCUUCCUCUAUGAUGUCCUCUUCAGCUGUGACUACAGUUAACCGUGCCUCUUCGGUACAAUCCGGUGCGGUGGCUCCAUUCGUCGGACUCAAGUCCAUGGCUGGCUUCCCAAUUACAAAGGUCAACAAAGACAUUACCUCCAUUACAAGCAAUGGCGGAAGAGUAAACUGCAUGCAGGUGAGAAAAAACAUGCCUACUAUUUUAGUUUAUUUGAGUUUGUUAUUAGCAUAAUCGAAACAAUUUAUGACAUGUCCGUAAACUGUUUUCAUCUUAUAUUUUCAUAAGCCCUUCAAGAUAGUUUAUGAAAACAGGUUAUAGACUAUAUGAAAAAAGUUUGACUUUAAUUUAUCUUUUGUCAUAAAAAUAACUUUUACAUAUUUAGAGAUUCGUUGAAAAAUGCACACAAGUUUGUUAACCAUUUUGUGCAAUUUUAGGUGUGGCCUCCUAUUGGCAAGAAGAAGUUUGAGACUCUUUCAUAUCUUCCACCAUUGACCAGAGAACAAUUGGCGAAAGAAGUUGAAUACCUUAUAAGGAAGGGAUGGGUUGCUUGCUUGGAAUUUGAGACCGAGGUCUAAUAUUACUUGCAAUAUCUUCUCAAUAUUUAUAAUCGUUGUUUUGUCACGGCCAAGGUCACAGUCACAAAUUUGUAUUUAAAACCCUUUUAAUUUGUGUGUGGCCGAUGUGGCCUCAAUUGCUGUCGAACUGCGGUUUCAAUAACAUCAAAAACCGUUAUGUCGCGACCCUGAUCGUGGUCACGGACCUUUAUUUAAAAUCCAUUUGAGUUUUGAUGGUUAACAUAUGUUUGUUUUGACUUCUACUUGCUUACUUGCAGAAAGGAUUUGUGUACCGUGAGAACCACAGUUCACCAGGAUACUAUGACGGACGUUACUGGACAAUGUGGAAGUUGCCUUUGUUUGGAGCAACUGAUGCUUCUCAAGUGUUGAAGGAGCUUGAUGAAGUUGUUGUUGCUUACCCUAAUGCCUUUGUCCGUAUCAUCGGAUUCGACAACGUUCGUCAAGUUCAAUGCAUCAGUUUCAUUGCACACACACCUGAAGUUUACUAAAUUUGAGUGUUAAAUCACUCUUGGCUACCAUUGGAGGAACAUUUUUUUCGCUCUAUUUGUUCUGUUUGUAAUUUCCUUUUAUUUUUUUAAGGAAAUGUCGUACUGUGUUUUUCAGUUUUACCUUUCGGAUUUUAAAAUGCAAAUGGAUGGAUAAGAGUUGAUAAAUGAAAUGGCACUUCUAUUGAUUCUCAAAUUAAUAUUAUCUAUUGUUUUUAUGAGGUUAUUAGGCAAACUUUUACCAUUGCAUUCCAAAAAGUCUCAAAGCCAUUCGUGGUCUGAAAAUCAUCUUCAGACGCUAAAUAUCAGGCCUCUUACCUUCUACUGUUUGCAAUGGCUUACAUACCUUCAGUAUGAUUCCCAUUUACUUUUCAUUUUCCAAUCUUUAUUAUACCGUUGAUGGCCGGUCUGCUCACUACAUCGCAUCCAAUUCUUCCCUCUAUGAACGAACAAAACACAUCGAAAUUGACCGUCUUGUUAGGGAAAAGGCCUCAAUCGAAGUUGUUUCAUCUACUGCUUAUUUUCAUAGUUGAUCAUUUCCCAAGCUGAAAAUGCUAAAUGAUCAUAUACAAGAUUGUGACUGCACAAGUCCCAUCUUUUUCGGGACACUUAAUGAUUUCUUUUACCAUUUUUUAAUCCUAUAAUAAAGUUUGCAUGGUAAAGGUUAGGGGCACAAACAGAUUAAACAGUCUUGGUUUGAUUUUAUAUAAAAUAAUUUUUUUUAAAUACUUGAUUAUGAACUGAUUAUAAUAAUUUUGCUGUGAAAUAAAAAUGCAGGAUGAUAAUAAUUUUAAUGAUUAUGAAGGGAACAUUUUCUCAACUUACAUUGACAUCCAAAAUAAAAGAGAGGACCUGUUGAGAAUAAUAUGUAUAUAUCCUUAGAAGAUUAUAAAUGUAAAUUUAAAUAUAUUUAAAAUAAGAUAUCAUUAAGAUAUAACUAAUCAUUAUUGGUUGUAUUACAUUACAUCCUUUAACAGCAGCGCUAGCAUUGGAUAUUGAUCCAAGUACAAUGUGAGUGUUAGCAGAGCCGUUGUAAGACCCACGCGUGUCCGGCGGUUACGAAAUUAUAGGAAGUGUAAUCGUCGGGGAGAGAUUCGCGGAAACAUGGGAAAGAGACGUUACAGUUCGUUUGAACCGGUCUCUGUUGCUCCGAGUACUCCCUCGCGGGGAAGGAGAGUGUUGCGAGUAAUAGUACCAAAUGCAGUAUUUGGGUUGUAAUUGUUAUUGGGCCUAAGCAAUUGGGCCUUAGGUGUUUGGCCGGUCCAAAACACUAACAAAUCCAAAACUCUUUUAAAACUAGACUAUUACUUUUACCACCCUCCUCUGUGAAGCCUAAUCAGAUUUACUUUAUAUGUUUUUGAUGAUGUUCUUUAGCUUAGUUUAUCGUUUUAAUAAUUGCCUUAUGGCUAGCAUGUUAUAGCAUCCAUCAUCUAUGUGUCUUGAUCUAGGAUUUACUUGCGUCUUGUGCAAAAGUGUCAUUGUUCAUCUUUUGGCAUAUUGAAUCGAUUCAUCACUAUCAAUUACACUCAAUCAAUUCAUUUGAAGGUUGAAUCAUAUCAUUCUUCAUCCUUGACUCACUUAAAUCGAUUCACUUAUGCAUUGAAUCGUUUCAUCCUUCAUGCGUUCUUGGGUUGUCUUUUGCUAUCUGAAUCGAUUCACUCAUUUAGUGAAUCGAUUCACCAUGUUGAUUUUGUGCGAAAAUUUUGUCUUGUCACUUUUCUCUAUAUAGAGUCUUCCCUUCAUAUCUCUCAAUUUAUUGAAUCAUUUGCAACUAUUCUCUCUAGGCCUCAAAAACUCUUUGCACAUAAAUUCUUCAAGAUUAAACACUUUUUCUUAGAAUCAUUUGUUCUUUGAGUUGCAUUGAUUUGUUAGGGUACUAGUAGGGAUUGUAAGUUUGUUCUUUCAAGAAAAUUGAUUGGGCUUAAUCAAGGUUUUAAAGUGAAGUGAAUAAUCUCAUUCCACCUCCAAACGACUUGGGGGUCUUUCUAACCGUUCUUGAAGUCCAAGGGGAUUCGCUUACCAGACGUAGCAUUGAAGGCUCAACUGAAGAGUUCGAAGGGGUGCACGGGUAUUCAAGGAUUCAAAGAUUCAAGGAGCACCAAAUUCAAAGGUUAUUUGAAGUUUGGGAGAAUGUUUGCAUAGGGGUUGAAGAAUUAGGUUUAAUUUCAAGGAACUCUUGUAAACACAUUGUAUUUAACAUUUGUUACAUAGUGGAUGACCUUGGUGAAGGCGUACUUCAUCAAGAAGAGUAGACGUAGCUCUAGAGAUGACAAGAAAGAGCAAACUACAAUAAAAAUAUUGGUGUUAUCUCUCUUCCCCUAUCACCUUUACUUUUUACUAUUGCAUGUGAUUAAUUGAAUAGUUGUUAGGAUAAUUGCUAGUGUUGAUCUAAGUUGUUUUUCAUCAAAAGAUAAUCUAAUUCAUUGAAUUAGGUUUUACCUAAUUUGCUUAGAUCAAUUGAUUGCAACAUCUAUUCAAUUCUUCAGUUUCAUAUGCAUUGUGUUUUCAAUUGAUAGCUUAGCAAUUCUGUCCAUAUAGGUUUGGUUUGAAAUUGUCUAAAUGUUUUGUAUAUUGUUCAAGGUUUAUUAAAGUUUGAUUGUAUAUAAUAUUUGUAUCAUGAAUCUCUGAAUUCUAGAUAAAAUCGUAUCUCACAUAGAUUUAUCUUUUUGUAAAUUGUUGUGAUUGUUUCCGCACGAUUUCAAUAGUCAAUUUCGUUAAACUCCCUUUUUAUUAACUCCGGAAAAACUCCCCCCUCCCCCCCCCCCCCCCCCCCAGCUUAAAAACUAAUUAGCCAUAUAGACCAACACUCUAUUCUAGCACGCCCUGCUAAAAAGACAGAGAUACCUUUGGUCCUGAUUAUAUAAUCUGAACCAGAUCGUUGGAGUUUUUCGGUUUACAAAAUCCGGUCAAUUUCAAAAUGUGAUUUUUGGUGUUUUCUUUGAAGUCAAAGGUCUCUGUUGACCGUUAUAUAACCCCCGCAUAAGCUGCAAAGCAAUUGUUGGGUGAAGUGAAGAAUGAAGAAAUUUGUUGAAGAUGGAAGCCUAUUUAUAGCCUAAAAUAAGUCAUAUGUCAUAAGUACAGUCAAUGAAAACGUGUUUGUGGUGCUAACCAUCCAAAAAUGCAUUAAUGGCUCCACUAACCAGCCAAACCUUUGGUGAAACGCCACCGUCCAAAAGAAACUGAGGGUUUUCGAAUUAUAUAAUCUGAAAAUGACAAAAAGAUUCCAGAUUAUAUAAUUCGAACAACAUCAGAAUGCCUAUUUGGAGGGUUUUUUUUAGAGAGAUUUUUUGGAAUAUGACAUAAAAUAAUUAAUAAAUGGAUAAAAAAAACAAGUAAGCAGUAGAAAACAACAUAAACAACAAAAUAUUUUAGGAUAGUGUUCUAAGUGGUGCUUUUGAACUCGAUCUAGCUGGCCUGCCAACUGACAUAUUUCUAUCGGAAGGCCAACUGGAUCGAGCUCAUAAAAACCUUUUCGGAUUCUAAUCUGCAACAUAACGUUGAAAGACAAGGUGUUUCCAGAGGAUAGUUUUGAGUUAGAUCCGGCUGCCUUUCCAAUUGAGAUAUUUAUAUCGCAUAGGCAGAACAAUCUAGCUCAUAGCAACCUCUUGGUAUUCAAAUAGAGAGCAACAUCUUUGUAUCUAUCUAUAUAUUUUUGACAACAUGCUGAAGAUCUACAUAAUGAUGUCAAAUAAAGAGCUAUCUAUUUGAGACAACAUUAGGUAGAUCCUCGGCGCAAUGACAAAAAAUUCAUGGUUUCUUUGGUGUGUUUGGUUGUAAUUUUGACAGCAUGCUGAAGAUCUUCAUCACGCAGUCAAAUAGAGAGCUAUCUAUUUGUGAUCGUGAGAGAAAGAUCAUAUGUUUAAUGACAAAAAUUUGCAUGGUUUUCUUUGGUGUGUUUGUGUGUUUGGUUGGAAAUGAAGAUGAAAACCGGAAAUACUUAUUUAUACAGGUCUCUGGACAUUUUGGACCAUAGAAACUGUCGGUGCAUUGUGAUUCAUACAAAAGAAUCCUAUCUGAAGGAAUUCGGAUUAUGUAAUUUGAAUUGCACUUACAGCCUAUAAAAUUGAUUUGAAUUCGGAUUAUUUUAGCAUUUAACUAAACAUAUUUGACGUAAAGUAACACAUAAUGAAAAUUUAGAUAAUAUAUAUAUUAUUUAAAACAUAAUAAAACAUCUUAGUUGAACAAAAUAUAACUUACACGUAAUUAAAUAAAACAUAAAACACGUAACUAAAUAAAAAAUAGUACAUCAUCAUAGAUCAUUUAAACUAAUGUCUUCGUCUGGUGCAUCCAUUAAUUAGUUCCCUGAUCUCUUCGUAGUUCCUGGGCCGGAUCAAAAUUUGUUGAAUAUGUUAAACAAAUCUAACCAACGAAGCAUCCAACUUGAUUGGUCCUCUAGUACUGUACUGACCAAAGAUCGAGAACAUGGUUCUCACCUCGUCAUCUUUUUUGAGCUUCAUCCUGCUGAACUACACACUCCCGGCUAAGUCGGUCGAUGGACAUCGAUACUCUACAUCAUCCACUGAUGUAGUAUUUUUGCAUCAAACAAUUGUAAGUAUUUAUAUCGUCUCCUCAGGGACUAGUGCGAUAUCGCGGACCGUUCGACACCAAAUAUCAUUUCAAGUUAAACGAUAGUUGAUUGUUUGUUUUAGUAACUGAAUUGCAAAUGAUACAAUUGAGAUUAAUAGGGCGUAAAACUUGUUAGGAUUAGAGUUCCUUGAUCGAGCGUCGCACGUAACCUAAUGAGCAUACAUGGAUUCUAGCUUGUCUUUGAUAUUAUCACGUAUCCCUCGACAACACCAUUCGUGUCCAAACAAUAUUGUGAAAUCAAUUGUAUCAUUCAAUGGUCGAUGUCUCAAACUAUUGAAUGAUUCAAGAGUCGAUCUUAUCGUUCAAUCGAUGAUUUCUCAAUCUAUUAAAUGAUAAGAAAGCUUUAGGUUUGGAUACUCAAGGUGAUUAUCAAAACAUCGAUUCCAUGUCUAGAAACUAUGUUUUGAUAGAUGGUUAUUCUAAACCUAGAUUCAAAAGUAUUUCUCAAUCACAAUUAAAUCAAAGAUAAAGAUUAAAGUGCAAGAAUAACCUCAAUAUCAAUUCAAAUGCUAGAACCAUAUAUUUAUAGAUCAAACGAUUACAUGUUAAACUAUGAUCAAGUACCUCUAAUCCCAACAAAGGAGAUUUAGCUACUCAUUGUCAUGGAAGCCUUGCAAGAAUGAAUUGAAGAAGCAAGAUUCAUUACAACUUGUGAUGUCUCAACAAAGGAUGAAGAAUCCACUCUCUAUCACUCUCACUCUAUAAAGCACAAGCCCUAUCUCUCUCUCUCUAAGAAUAUUACAAGUGAAAACACAGAGAGAAACUAAGUGAAAAACUAUGUAAAAACUAUCUCCCUCUGAAAUGGUUGAGUGGGCUAUUUAUAGAAUUCUGAGUCUGCCUUCACUCGCCUCGCGAGCUGCUUCAUUCGCCAUGGCGAGUUGAAGUUUCUUCCCCAUUGGGUUUGUGCCACGUCAGCAUUUAGAGGCUAAACCGCCCUUACUCGCCUCGCGAGUCCUUCCAUUCGCCAUGGCGAGUAAGCUCGCCUUCUACUCGCCAUUGCGAGUUGGUGGCGUGUGAUCUUUGUUGCAUUCUGGAAUUGCUCGCCUUUGCUGCUUGCCAUGGCGAGUUGGAGGCGAGUGAUCUCCUUUUUCUGCCUUUUUGUACUUUUCUCGAUUUUCUUCUCUUUGCUUGAUGUCUUGAGUUCGAAUCCUGCACAAAUGGGUGAAGUAAGAUAGAUAAAGCGUAAAAGGGCAAUAAUCACUUAUUUCUCGGCUUUUCCCUUAAUAACUUGCAAAACAAGUAACAAAAGUGCCUAAAAUAUAUCACUUAAAUUACAACUUUCUAGCACUUAUCAUCCACCCUCCGUGUGUCUUUGUAGUUGAGUUUGAGGUUAAUUUGAUUCAGCCGACUCUUCAACCCGGAGAGGGUGAGAUCAGUGGGAAUCUUGAACAAAUGGGAUGGUUUCCCCUCGUUGUAGUAAACUACGGCUAGCUUGGUGUUCGGAUCAAAGACAGAGUUUUCCAUGGUUUUUUUGUGUGUGUAGUUUCUGGUUAUGAACACAGAGACACCUAUUUAUAGAGGUCCAUGGGCGUCCUGGACCAUAGAAAUUGUCGGUGCAAUGUGGACCACAUGAAAAAAAAUCAUGUUUCAGAUUGUAUAAUUCGAAAUGUCCCUCACCCCACAGAAGGUGGGCAGUUUCCUUUAAUUUUGCCCAGUAUCCUAAAAAUUCGGAUUAUAUAAUCCGGAAACCAUGGGAAGUUUUUGGAUUAUAUAAUCUGAACUGUGUCAGUUUCUUUUGGACGGUGGUCUGCACCACAAGAAACACGUUUUCAAUGGUUUUUACCAGCAUUAAUGGCUGAUAAAAGUCCUUUGAAACACAUUUUUGACUCACCAUUAAGUUUGUAAUUGCACCAACAACCCAUUUUUAACCUGAAAAAUAAGAGAAAAAUAGGGUGUAAUUACAUGUAUAAUAAUAGGUAACAAUUAUUUAUGGAUUUUUUUUUCUCUAAAAUACUCUCUAGAAAGACGUAAUACUUUUUUAUUUUGACCAAAAAAACAUAAUACUUUUGCUUUUACAUUAAUUUUAUACAACUCAGUCAAACAAAACCUUAUUCAACGUUUUCUCGAUAGAAGUAUAUAUAGCACAUUGAGGUCAUAUUCAUCUCAAACCAUAAUAAAGUUUUAAGCAAAAGAGAAGUGCUAUAUGUCCCGAUAAGAGAUAAAGUUUUAAGCAUGCACUUUGACGGAAUACAAGGGUAGGUGGGCAAUAAAAUAGCUUCGUGAGACAAUCGGGAUGUAUGGUCUCACGAUAUUAAGCAAUUUCCAAUUCAAAAAUGAAGUUCUCAUUUUACAACAGAGUUUCAAUCAACCCUCUUCUUAGUUAAUGCAUUUCGAUUUUUAUUUUAAAAUUAUUUAUUGUAGUCUUGAAUUGAUUUUUUAUUUUUUUUUCUUCAGAUUUUACAUCAACAAAAUCUCACGGCGUUGGCUUCCUCCUCACUAGCUGAAAAGAAGAAGGUUAUGUUCAUAACGGGUGCAACUAACACUGGAAAAACUAUACUUUUCAUCUACUUAGGUACUAAUUUCUUCUAUGAAAUCUUCAAUUUUAAUAAAAUUCAAAUUUAUUAAGAUCUUGACUUAACACCAGCUUGGUACCACAAUUUGAAUGUUGUUCGAUUUCACAUCACAUGUUAUUAUGCAUCAUCAAUGAUCCAAAUAUGAUUUCCCUGUUAAUGAUUUUUGCAAACACAUGUCUGAAGCUCUAUAUUUAUAGCUGAAAAUGGACACCUAACCAUUAUUGUAGGAGGGUAAUGUUCUUACAUUGAAAUAUUAGUUGAUGACCCAAUCAUUGAACUUUGUUCAAAAUGUUAUUGUUGUUACAUUGAAAUAUUAUUGUUGUUUCAAAAAUCAAUCACAAUGAAAUCAUAUUCAGAAUUAUUGGUGACGUCUAAUAUGUGAUGUGGAAUUGAACAAUGUUCAUCCUCUGAUACCUUAUUGGUGAAAGGUCAAGACCCUUAUAAACUUGAAUUUUAUCAGAGUGGAUGAUUUCAUAGAGGAAUUAAGUACCUAAGUAGAUGGAAAAUUUAUUUUUUCCAGUUCCAGUUGCUUUCUUUAUGAACAAAACCUUGUUUUUUUGGCUAGUAUAUUGAGGAAAAAAAGCCAAGAAAUAUAUAUAUAUAUAUAUAUAUAUAUUUUUAAUGUAUAGCCUAUGGAAAAUACAAUAAUACAAAUAAGACUUGGAGACCCUUUUUGCCCCCUAACUUUGCACUAGUUGCGAUCUUGGCUCCCUAUAAAAAAAAAAAAACACAUUUCAGCCCCCUAACUUUUCCCUUUUUGCAACUUUCAAUUUUGAUCAUUCAAACCCAACCAUUCAUGACAGUAAAAACAAGUGGGUGUUUUUGUUUAGCAAGUUUCAAAUUUAUAGGGCAAAGAAUACGACUUGAGACUUGUUUUUUGACUUUCUACCGUCUUGAAUGUUUGAUUUUGAAUGAUCAAAAUUAAAAAUUGUAAAAGGGGAAAACCUAAAGGAUUGGAAUGUGUUUUUUCUUAAUAAGGAGACAAAAUCGCAACUAGUGCAAAGUUAGGGAGGCAAAAGCGCAUUUAAGCGUAAAAAUAAUUAAAAACCACAACAAAUGAUUUUGAACUAGAAUCGAAAUUGAUUAAUCUUAUACAUGUUGUCAAUAAGGAUACUAUGUAUAUGAAGAAGAGAAUCAAUUGAAACUUUAUUUGUGCUAUACAUAAUGAUAAAUGAUAUAUGGAGAGAAGGACCGCUAAACAGGCGAGUUUAGAAUCAAUUUAGCAGGAGGUUCAUGGAGGGCGGGUCUAUCGUUGUAGGCGUGGUAGGGAUUGUAUCCUACAAAUAUUUUGUUUUUAAUUUUAUGUUUGAAAAUGGUGUUGUUUCUUAUCUUUUUCAUUACAAUAUUUUAUUUAUUUAUUCACGAGUGCAUGUUUAUAUCAAAGGAUUAUAUAAUUUGUAUGUAUCAGAGUGAAAACAGACUAUUAUUGUUAUGAUACCUUUCAGAUUAUAUAAUUGUAACAGUUUUAUGACAUUUCAGAUUAUAUAAUCCGAAAUAUGCGUUUUUUUACAUCACAAUUGACCCUUUUGGAGUGUUUGACACUUUUCAGAUUAUAUAAGCCAAAUUAUUUUAAGGAGUUUCAAAUUAUAUAAUCUGAAACGUAUGUUUAACUGAGACCUACACAAACAUCUCUAAAAUGUUUUGUCUUCUAACAAUUUUUAUAUUGUUUGGAUUAUAUAAUCCUAAACGUUGGUCUGAUUAAUAAAAUUUGAACGAAAAGUAUUUUGAGAAGAAAAAAAAUAGGGUGCAAUAACCAAAUAGCGUGAGAAAAAUAAUGGCCUUAUUGAUCACCCCGUAAGGAGCCAAUGCCUGAAAAAAGUACCAUAGAUGAUUGAUAUUUGUGGAGGCAUUAAUAGUCACAAAACUACACGUGGCAAUUUCAUAUUGGUGGCUAAUGAUAAGGCUAGCACAAAAAUUUCCAUUCCUGUGUGGUUGAUAUGGCAGCAAAGUUUAUCAUAUUCACAAAAUGGUAUUAUGAAGCAUUACCACAAUUUAUAAGACCAUAAUAUUGGAAAUAGAAAAAUAAAAACAUUAUAUAAAGCAAGUUUGAGUAUAGGCUUUGCAAUUCAAGCAGAAGUAUAUCUUACUAGUGAACAAAGUAAGGGAGAAAAACAUGGCUUCCUCUAUGAUGUCCUCUUCAGCUGUGACUACAGUUAACCGUGCCUCUUCGGUACAAUCCGGUGCGGUGGCUCCAUUCGUCGGACUCAAGUCCAUGGCUGGCUUCCCAGUUACAAAGGUUAACAAAGACAUUACUUCCAUUACAAGCAAUGGUGGAAGAGUAAACUGCAUGCAGGUGAGAAAACAAUAUACCUUGCUUUGUAUCAACUUCUUAACUUGUUUGGAUUGAGUUAUUUUAGUUUAUCUAAUGACAUUGAACUUAUGAGACUACUUGAGAGAGCUUAUGAAAACAAUUUAUGCUCAUAAAAUAUUUUCAGCUUAUUUCCAUAUGACAUGUUACUCUUUAUUAUUCACUUAUACUACAAAAUUGAGAGAUCCUUGUUAUGAUCUCAAUUUAUUAUAUUAAUGCUUUUGCAUGUCUUUUUUCAUUAGAUUUAAAAACGUAUAUGUUGCAUAUUUUGGUACUAGAAGGUUACUUGAAUAACACUAAAGGAUUCAAAAAAAAUUUCAAUUUUAGGUGUGGCCUCCUAUUGGCAAGAAGAAGUUUGAGACUCUUUCAUACCUUCCACCAUUGACCAGAGAACAAUUGGCGAAAGAAGUUGAAUACCUUAUAAGGAAGGGAUGGGUUGCUUGCUUGGAAUUCGAGACCGAGGUCUAGUUUUAAUUUAUUUUCAAUGCCUUUUCAACGAACAUAUAUAUAGUUUUGAACUUAGAUGGUUAAUCGGUUUGUCAUGGUUAAUCUACUUGCAGAAAGGAUUUGUGUACCGUGAGAACCACAGUUCACCAGGAUAUUAUGACGGACGUUACUGGACAAUGUGGAAGUUGCCUUUGUUUGGAGCAACUGAUGCUUCUCAAGUGUUGAAGGAGCUUGAUGAAGUUGUUGUUGCUUACCCUAAUGCCUUUGUCCGUAUCAUCGGAUUCGACAACGUUCGUCAAGUUCAAUGCAUCAGUUUCAUUGCACACACACCUGNNNNNNNNNNNNNNNNNNNNNNNNNNNNNNNNNNNNNNNNNNNNNNNNNNNNNNNNNNNNNNNNNNNNNNNNNNNNNNNNNNNNNNNNNNNNNNNNNNNNNNNNNNNNNNNNNNNNNNNNNNNNNNNNNNNNNNNNNNNNNNNNNNNNNNNNNNNNNNNNNNNNNNNNNNNNNNNNNNNNNNNNNNNNNNNNNNNNNNNNNNNNNNNNNNNNNNNNNNNNNNNNNNNNNNNNNNNNNNNNNNNNNNNNNNNNNNNNNNNNNNNNNNNNNNNNNNNNNNNNNNNNNNNNNNNNNNNNNNNNNNNNNNNNNNNNNNNNNNNNNNNNNNNNNNNNNNNNNNNNNNNNNNNNNNNNNNNNNNNNNNNNNNNNNNNNNNNNNNNNNNNNNNNNNNNNNNNNNNNNNNNNNNNNNNNNNNNNNNNNNNNNNNNNNNNNNNNNNNNNNNNNNNNNNNNNNNNNNNNNNNNNNNNNNNNNNNNNNNNNNNNNNNNNNNNNNNNNNNNNNNNNNNNNNNNNNNNNNNNNNNNNNNNNNNNNNNNNNNNNNNNNNNNNNNNNNNNNNNNNNNNNNNNNNNNNNNNNNNNNNNNNNNNNNNNNNNNNNNNNNNNNNNNNNNNNNNNNNNNNNNNNNNNNNNNNNNNNNNNNNNNNNNNNNNNNNNNNNNNNNNNNNNNNNNNNNNNNNNNNNNNNNNNNNNNNNNNNNNNNNNNNNNNNNNNNNNNNNNNNNNNNNNNNNNNNNNNNNNNNNNNNNNNNNNNNNNNNNNNNNNNNNNNNNNNNNNNNNNNNNNNNNNNNNNNNNNNNNNNNNNNNNNNNNNNNNNNNNNNNNNNNNNNNNNNNNNNNNNNNNNNNNNNNNNNNNNNNNNNNNNNNNNNNNNNNNNNNNNNNNNNNNNNNNNNNNNNNNNNNNNNNNNNNNNNNNNNNNNNNNNNNNNNNNNNNNNNNNNNNNNNNNNNNNNNNNNNNNNNNNNNNNNNNNNNNNNNNNNNNNNNNNNNNNNNNNNNNNNNNNNNNNNNNNNNNNNNNNNNNNNNNNNNNNNNNNNNNNNNNNNNNNNNNNNNNNNNNNNNNNNNNNNNNNNNNNNNNNNNNNNNNNNNNNNNNNNNNNNNNNNNNNNNNNNNNNNNNNNNNNNNNNNNNNNNNNNNNNNNNNNNNNNNNNNNNNNNNNNNNNNNNNNNNNNNNNNNNNNNNNNNNNNNNNNNNNNNNNNNNNNNNNNNNNNNNNNNNNNNNNNNNNNNNNNNNNNNNNNNNNNNNNNNNNNNNNNNNNNNNNNNNNNNNNNNNNNNNNNNNNNNNNNNNNNNNNNNNNNNNNNNNNNNNNNNNNNNNNNNNNNNNNNNNNNNNNNNNNNNNNNNNNNNNNNNNNNNNNNNNNNNNNNNNNNNNNNNNNNNNNNNNNNNNNNNNNNNNNNNNNNNNNNNNNNNNNNNNNNNNNNNNNNNNNNNNNNNNNNNNNNNNNNNNNNNNNNNNNNNNNNNNNNNNNNNNNNNNNNNNNNNNNNNNNNNNCUCGCCAUUGCGAGUUGGUGGCGUGUGAUCUUUGUUGCAUUCUGGAAUUGCUCGCCUUUGCUGCUUGCCAUGGCGAGUUGGAGGCGAGUGAUCUCCUUUUUCUGCCUUUUUGUACUUUUCUCGAUUUUCUUCUCUUUGCUUGAUGUCUUGAGUUCGAAUCCUGCACAAAUGGGUGAAGUAAGAUAGAUAAAGCGUAAAAGGGCAAUAAUCACUUAUUUCUCGGCUUUUCCCUUAAUAACUUGCAAAACAAGUAACAAAAGUGCCUAAAAUAUAUCACUUAAAUUACAACUUUCUAGCACUUAUCAUCCACCCUCCGUGUGUCUUUGUAGUUGAGUUUGAGGUUAAUUUGAUUCAGCCGACUCUUCAACCCGGAGAGGGUGAGAUCAGUGGGAAUCUUGAACAAAUGGGAUGGUUUCCCCUCGUUGUAGUAAACUACGGCUAGCUUGGUGUUCGGAUCAAAGACAGAGUUUUCCAUGGUUUUUUUGUGUGUGUAGUUUCUGGUUAUGAACACAGAGACACCUAUUUAUAGAGGUCCAUGGGCGUCCUGGACCAUAGAAAUUGUCGGUGCAAUGUGGACCACAUGAAAAAAAAUCAUGUUUCAGAUUGUAUAAUUCGAAAUGUCCCUCACCCCACAGAAGGUGGGCAGUUUCCUUUAAUUUUGCCCAGUAUCCUAAAAAUUCGGAUUAUAUAAUCCGGAAACCAUGGGAAGUUUUUGGAUUAUAUAAUCUGAACUGUGUCAGUUUCUUUUGGACGGUGGUCUGCACCACAAGAAACACGUUUUCAAUGGUUUUUACCAGCAUUAAUGGCUGAUAAAAGUCCUUUGAAACACAUUUUUGACUCACCAUUAAGUUUGUAAUUGCACCAACAACCCAUUUUUAACCUGAAAAAUAAGAGAAAAAUAGGGUGUAAUUACAUGUAUAAUAAUAGGUAACAAUUAUUUAUGGAUUUUUUUUUCUCUAAAAUACUCUCUAGAAAGACGUAAUACUUUUUUAUUUUGACCAAAAAAACAUAAUACUUUUGCUUUUACAUUAAUUUUAUACAACUCAGUCAAACAAAACCUUAUUCAACGUUUUCUCGAUAGAAGUAUAUAUAGCACAUUGAGGUCAUAUUCAUCUCAAACCAUAAUAAAGUUUUAAGCAAAAGAGAAGUGCUAUAUGUCCCGAUAAGAGAUAAAGUUUUAAGCAUGCACUUUGACGGAAUACAAGGGUAGGUGGGCAAUAAAAUAGCUUCGUGAGACAAUCGGGAUGUAUGGUCUCACGAUAUUAAGCAAUUUCCAAUUCAAAAAUGAAGUUCUCAUUUUACAACAGAGUUUCAAUCAACCCUCUUCUUAGUUAAUGCAUUUCGAUUUUUAUUUUAAAAUUAUUUAUUGUAGUCUUGAAUUGAUUUUUUAUUUUUUUUUCUUCAGAUUUUACAUCAACAAAAUCUCACGGCGUUGGCUUCCUCCUCACUAGCUGAAAAGAAGAAGGUUAUGUUCAUAACGGGUGCAACUAACACUGGAAAAACUAUACUUUUCAUCUACUUAGGUACUAAUUUCUUCUAUGAAAUCUUCAAUUUUAAUAAAAUUCAAAUUUAUUAAGAUCUUGACUUAACACCAGCUUGGUACCACAAUUUGAAUGUUGUUCGAUUUCACAUCACAUGUUAUUAUGCAUCAUCAAUGAUCCAAAUAUGAUUUCCCUGUUAAUGAUUUUUGCAAACACAUGUCUGAAGCUCUAUAUUUAUAGCUGAAAAUGGACACCUAACCAUUAUUGUAGGAGGGUAAUGUUCUUACAUUGAAAUAUUAGUUGAUGACCCAAUCAUUGAACUUUGUUCAAAAUGUUAUUGUUGUUACAUUGAAAUAUUAUUGUUGUUUCAAAAAUCAAUCACAAUGAAAUCAUAUUCAGAAUUAUUGGUGACGUCUAAUAUGUGAUGUGGAAUUGAACAAUGUUCAUCCUCUGAUACCUUAUUGGUGAAAGGUCAAGACCCUUAUAAACUUGAAUUUUAUCAGAGUGGAUGAUUUCAUAGAGGAAUUAAGUACCUAAGUAGAUGGAAAAUUUAUUUUUUCCAGUUCCAGUUGCUUUCUUUAUGAACAAAACCUUGUUUUUUUGGCUAGUAUAUUGAGGAAAAAAAGCCAAGAAAUAUAUAUAUAUAUAUAUAUAUAUAUUUUUAAUGUAUAGCCUAUGGAAAAUACAAUAAUACAAAUAAGACUUGGAGACCCUUUUUGCCCCCUAACUUUGCACUAGUUGCGAUCUUGGCUCCCUAUAAAAAAAAAAAAAACACAUUUCAGCCCCCUAACUUUUCCCUUUUUGCAACUUUCAAUUUUGAUCAUUCAAACCCAACCAUUCAUGACAGUAAAAACAAGUGGGUGUUUUUGUUUAGCAAGUUUCAAAUUUAUAGGGCAAAGAAUACGACUUGAGACUUGUUUUUUGACUUUCUACCGUCUUGAAUGUUUGAUUUUGAAUGAUCAAAAUUAAAAAUUGUAAAAGGGGAAAACCUAAAGGAUUGGAAUGUGUUUUUUCUUAAUAAGGAGACAAAAUCGCAACUAGUGCAAAGUUAGGGAGGCAAAAGCGCAUUUAAGCGUAAAAAUAAUUAAAAACCACAACAAAUGAUUUUGAACUAGAAUCGAAAUUGAUUAAUCUUAUACAUGUUGUCAAUAAGGAUACUAUGUAUAUGAAGAAGAGAAUCAAUUGAAACUUUAUUUGUGCUAUACAUAAUGAUAAAUGAUAUAUGGAGAGAAGGACCGCUAAACAGGCGAGUUUAGAAUCAAUUUAGCAGGAGGUUCAUGGAGGGCGGGUCUAUCGUUGUAGGCGUGGUAGGGAUUGUAUCCUACAAAUAUUUUGUUUUUAAUUUUAUGUUUGAAAAUGGUGUUGUUUCUUAUCUUUUUCAUUACAAUAUUUUAUUUAUUUAUUCACGAGUGCAUGUUUAUAUCAAAGGAUUAUAUAAUUUGUAUGUAUCAGAGUGAAAACAGACUAUUAUUGUUAUGAUACCUUUCAGAUUAUAUAAUUGUAACAGUUUUAUGACAUUUCAGAUUAUAUAAUCCGAAAUAUGCGUUUUUUUACAUCACAAUUGACCCUUUUGGAGUGUUUGACACUUUUCAGAUUAUAUAAGCCAAAUUAUUUUAAGGAGUUUCAAAUUAUAUAAUCUGAAACGUAUGUUUAACUGAGACCUACACAAACAUCUCUAAAAUGUUUUGUCUUCUAACAAUUUUUAUAUUGUUUGGAUUAUAUAAUCCUAAACGUUGGUCUGAUUAAUAAAAUUUGAACGAAAAGUAUUUUGAGAAGAAAAAAAAUAGGGUGCAAUAACCAAAUAGCGUGAGAAAAAUAAUGGCCUUAUUGAUCACCCCGUAAGGAGCCAAUGCCUGAAAAAAGUACCAUAGAUGAUUGAUAUUUGUGGAGGCAUUAAUAGUCACAAAACUACACGUGGCAAUUUCAUAUUGGUGGCUAAUGAUAAGGCUAGCACAAAAAUUUCCAUUCCUGUGUGGUUGAUAUGGCAGCAAAGUUUAUCAUAUUCACAAAAUGGUAUUAUGAAGCAUUACCACAAUUUAUAAGACCAUAAUAUUGGAAAUAGAAAAAUAAAAACAUUAUAUAAAGCAAGUUUGAGUAUAGGCUUUGCAAUUCAAGCAGAAGUAUAUCUUACUAGUGAACAAAGUAAGGGAGAAAAACAUGGCUUCCUCUAUGAUGUCCUCUUCAGCUGUGACUACAGUUAACCGUGCCUCUUCGGUACAAUCCGGUGCGGUGGCUCCAUUCGUCGGACUCAAGUCCAUGGCUGGCUUCCCAGUUACAAAGGUUAACAAAGACAUUACUUCCAUUACAAGCAAUGGUGGAAGAGUAAACUGCAUGCAGGUGAGAAAACAAUAUACCUUGCUUUGUAUCAACUUCUUAACUUGUUUGGAUUGAGUUAUUUUAGUUUAUCUAAUGACAUUGAACUUAUGAGACUACUUGAGAGAGCUUAUGAAAACAAUUUAUGCUCAUAAAAUAUUUUCAGCUUAUUUCCAUAUGACAUGUUACUCUUUAUUAUUCACUUAUACUACAAAAUUGAGAGAUCCUUGUUAUGAUCUCAAUUUAUUAUAUUAAUGCUUUUGCAUGUCUUUUUUCAUUAGAUUUAAAAACGUAUAUGUUGCAUAUUUUGGUACUAGAAGGUUACUUGAAUAACACUAAAGGAUUCAAAAAAAAUUUCAAUUUUAGGUGUGGCCUCCUAUUGGCAAGAAGAAGUUUGAGACUCUUUCAUACCUUCCACCAUUGACCAGAGAACAAUUGGCGAAAGAAGUUGAAUACCUUAUAAGGAAGGGAUGGGUUGCUUGCUUGGAAUUCGAGACCGAGGUCUAGUUUUAAUUUAUUUUCAAUGCCUUUUCAACGAACAUAUAUAUAGUUUUGAACUUAGAUGGUUAAUCGGUUUGUCAUGGUUAAUCUACUUGCAGAAAGGAUUUGUGUACCGUGAGAACCACAGUUCACCAGGAUAUUAUGACGGACGUUACUGGACAAUGUGGAAGUUGCCUUUGUUUGGAGCAACUGAUGCUUCUCAAGUGUUGAAGGAGCUUGAUGAAGUUGUUGUUGCUUACCCUAAUGCCUUUGUCCGUAUCAUCGGAUUCGACAACGUUCGUCAAGUUCAAUGCAUCAGUUUCAUUGCACACACACCUGAUGUUUACUAAAUUUGAGAGUUUACUAUCUGCCAUUGGAGGAACAUUUUUUUUCUCUCCAUUUGUUCUGUUUGUAAUUUCCUUUUCUUUUUAAAGGAAAUGUCUCCAGUGUUUCUUCCGUGUUUGCUUUCGGAUUUUGAAAUGCAAAUAGAUGGAUAAGAGUUAAUUAAUGAAAUGGUACUUUUAUUCAUUCUCAAAUUAGUAUUAUCUAUUCUUUUUAUAUCGUAAAUUUGUUUGUUUCUUAAUCUUAACUGUGGAGCAAGUAGUCUAUGAGGUUAUGUAAUCUUAAAGUGCUAAACUGCACCUAUGCUUCUUUUUCAUUGAAGCUACUGAACUUUACCUAAUUGAGAUAUCUUUACCCUUGGCAACAAAAUGAGUAAAUAGAUGAAUUGGUCCCUAAUCGUGAGCAUUUUUGUCAAAAUAGUCCCUGAAAUAUGCUAUUUGACAAAUAAAUCCAUAAACUGUAACACAUCAAUCAGAAUGGUCUCACUGUUAGUUUAUUCCUCGAGAUACUAUGAUGUGGCGCGUUCAUUGAGCAUGUAGCAUUCCACCUGGAUGACCACAUGUUCGUUUAGCGCAUCAGAUCAUAGCCUUCCACAUCAGAGAUCAUUUGCCGAUUUGUACAAUUUAGAGACUAUUUGGACCGUUGUUUACAAUUUUGAAGAACAUAUUCUUAAUCACUCGACAACAUAUUUAUUUGCAGACCUAGCAAAGCUGCAAAUGUAACUAAACACAAAUUAGAGUCCAGUAUAGCCUUUUUGUUUUAGACAUUUAUUCACUUUUCUUUAUGUAAUUUUCAAAUCAUAUUGGUAAUUCAACAUAAAUGCAAGUAAGAUUGGACUUGAUGAAGCUCUCUUACCACAAAAAUAAAUAUUUUUUCUUGAACUACAAAUAUGAGGCCUCAUGGAUUACUAUUUGGUUGAUUAUUUAGCAAAUUAGAGGCCUUUAAGGUUUCACUAAAAUAUUGGACCACUUUUUGAUAGCAACAUUUAUGGAAAGAGGAUUUUAUUUCCACAACUUUUUUCAAUCUUUAUCAACUUUAUGCACAAUCAGUACAUCUUUACAAAAAAACUUGAACAUCAACUAUGAAAAGUAUAUAAUACAAUUAUGAAAAUAUAAAAAUUGAGUUUAUAAAAUGAAUAUGAGAAUAAAUAAUUUCUUGUGAAGAAGACUACAUUAGGAUAAGGAAACGUAUAAGACGAUUCAUUUAGCUACUUGACACAUCGUUGGCGCUCCAAAAAGCAAUCCACAGUCUCAAAGUCAUCUUUAUACGCUAAAUAUUCGGCCUUAGCUUUCACUAUUUGCGCUCCAUUUAUCUUUCAUUUUGCAAUCUUUAUUUUAUACCGUGACAGCCAAUCCGUUUACUCUAUUGCAGCUAAUUCCUCCUUUUAUGAGCGGACAAAACACAUCAAAAUUGACCGUGACAUGAAUAACAUUUUAUUUUCUUCACAUCAGAUAAAACCCUAGCUAAAAAUUUGACUUAAACAAUGUACGGUACUCUGCAAUGAUGAUUUUAUUCAUGGAUAAAGUGGAAAUAUUCUAAGGAAUCAAAAAAAAAAGUGGAAAUAUUCUAAGGAGUACAAGAAAAUGAUACAAAAGAGAUGUUACCCUAAAGAGGCACAAACAAGCUAUAUCUAAUAGAAGUGUAAUUUUGAGCACAAUCAGCAUAUCCCCUAAAUAUUCUUGCAAUAACUUGAAGUCCAAAUGAUUUCAUUGAUUCAAAAGAGAUGUUACCCUAAGAAACAGCUUUUUUUUUUGGCACAAAUGAUUUCUUUUACCAUUUUGCAACCCUAUGAUGAAAGUAAGGUUAGGGUCACUAAUAGAUUAAGCAAUAUUGCUUUAAUUUCUAUAAAAAAAUUGUUUAAAGAAUCUUGAUUAUGAACGAAUUAUUAAUUAUUUUGCAGCUAAAGAUGAUUAUUAGUGCAACAUUUCAUUGAUUUAUAUAGGCCACCAAAAUCUCAGGACGACCCUUCUUUCACAUAUUAAGUUAGUCUAACUUGGGAAAUAAAAUAUAGGAAAAGGAAGAAGUUGUAAAUAUCUUCAUUUCUAAUGGACUUCUCAAUCAUUAUCAAUUUAUUACUUAUUACUUAUCAAUCCAAUAUUUUUUUUUUGUUGCAGGAAUAUAAAACCAAUUUUGUAUAAACAUGAUCCUUCUAAGAAUUUUGAAAUUGGAUUAGUCUAAUUAAAUCUCACAAAACUGACUUCGAAGGUAGGGAUACAUUCUAUUUAUAAACAUUUUUUAGGUCAUAUCACAUCUAACGUAGAACUCUCAACAUUCUUACAUGAAUCGCACGAUGCAACUAGUUUUUUUUUCCUUCUGGUCAUCCCCUACAAAAAUUUCUAUCCUAUGCCUAUGAUUAGGAUGUUAAUGGCGUUUAUAUUUUUAGAUAGCAACACACUCUUCUAAUUGAAAUUCAAAUGGAUUUUACUAAAUCACGUAGGUUCCACGUAAAAAUGGCGGAAUUCCUAAAUUUCAAACAAAAGAAGUAUGUGUUACUAACAUAACUGUAUUAGUAUUAUUUUUCUUCAUGAUUGUAUAAUUUUCUCAUGUUUAGCACUAUAUGAAUGGAGCCAAAGUCUCCACAAAGGUACCAUCCAUGAUAAAGAUAUUUAUGGAGGGAUCAAUAGUGACAAAACUCCAUGAGGCCAACAUGCAUACAAUAGAAAAUUAUUUCAAUUUACAUUUUUUUAUAAAAAUAUCAACAUAACAACCAUCACACAUUUAUGUUCUUCACAAGUGAAGAUAAGAUUAGUAGGACAUCAUCCAUGUGGCAUUCACAUAGUGGUGCAUUAUGAUAAGGCCAGUAUACAAUUUUUUUUCCAAUCUCAUGUGGUUAAUAUGGAAUGUUUAUCAUUUUCACAAUCCAAAACCAUUGGUAUAAUUAAUCAGAAACCAAUUUCAAAACAUUAUAUAAAUAGCUAGUUUCAGUACUAGCUGUGCAACUCAAUUAUAGAACAAUGGCUUCCUCUAUGAUCUCCUCUUCAGCUAUCACUACAGUUAACCGUGCCUCUCCGGUACAAUCCGGUGCGGUGGCUCCAUUCGUCGGACUCAAGUCCAUGGCUGGCUUCCCAAUUACAAAGGUCAACAAAGACAUUACCUCCAUUACAAGCAAUGGUGGAAGAGUAAACUGCAUGCAGGUGAGAAAUACUAAGUCUAGUUUGAAAUAACUUUUAGUUCAAGUUUUCCAAUUAAAAUAUGUUUAAGCUUUUUUUGAAAAUUUUAUCUCAUAGAAAUUGUUCUACUUGAGAAUGAGAACAACGUAUAUUUAGUGAAAGCGUACUCUCAUGUUAUCUAAUCAUAUACUAUACUCCUUUGUUUCUAUUUAAUUAUAACUUUUUUUAGAAAAUUUUGUUAUUGUUUAUUUGUUGUUUUUAAAGUUUAAUGUAACACUAAUUACUAUUUAUUUGUUAGUAACAUUUUUAACUAUUUGUUACAAAAAGGGCAAUAUGUGAAAUGAGAUAGCAAAUCAUUAAAAAUAUUAUUAGAAAAAGCAAAAUAAUUUCAUCAAAAAUUACAAAGUUUAUAAAUUUGAUUGGUAUGUGUAAAUAACCUUAAAUCAUAACAUACCACUUUGAUAAAGUUUAUAUAUUUCAAUAAAUAUAUCAUCUUGUAAGAUAUGAUUGGACGAAUGUGUAAAACUUUGUACAUUAUUAGUUCAUAGUAUUUUAGUUGAAAUGAUUUCAUGUUUUUAACAUUAAAGUUAUUUAAAUUUAAACAACAUUAAUACAGUCAUUGGCCAUGCACAAUUUUGUUAAGCCAUUUACUUAAUCUUUUGUACAUUACUACUAUAUAGGUGUGGCCUCCUAUUGGCAAGAAGAAGUUUGAGACUCUUUCAUAUCUUCCACCAUUGACCAGAGAACAAUUGGCGAAAGAAGUUGAAUACCUUAUAAGGAAGGGAUGGGUUGCUUGCUUGGAAUUCGAGACCGAGGUCUAGUUUUAAUUUAUUUUCAAUGCCUUUUCAAUGAACAUAUAUAUAGUUUUAAACUUAAAUGGUUAAUCGGUUUGUCAUGGUUAAUCUACUUGCAGAAAGGAUUUGUGUACCGUGAGAACCACAGUUCACCAGGAUACUAUGACGGACGUUACUGGACAAUGUGGAAGUUGCCUUUGUUUGGAGCAACUGAUGCUUCUCAAGUGUUGAAGGAGCUUGAUGAAGUUGUUGAUGCUUACCCUAAUGCCUUUGUCCGUAUCAUCGGAUUCGACAAAGUUCGUCAAGUUCAAUGCAUCAGUUUCAUUGCACACACACCUGAUGUUUACUAAGUUCAUUGCACUGGAAUUUGGAAGAACUUUUUUCUUCUUCCCAUUUAUGUUUUGCUUUUAAUUUCCAUUUCUUUUUCAGGGAAAUGUUUUCCUUCUGUGUUUUUAUAUUUCUGUUUUUGGAUUUGAAAAAUGGGAUG